UAAUAUUGAUUGAUCUACUUACUGGGGUGACGUCUAUGCUAGGUUUAGUGAGAUGUUUAUAGUGAGAUUUCAAAUAGUAUACUCUGUAUACCAAACAUACCCCACCUCUUAUAUGAUCUUACCUGGUUUCUCCUUAUCGUAUUUAAACUAUAUGAUAUGAUUUUACAAGUAUAUUUAUUUUAUCAUGUUUAAACUAUAUCGAUUAGUGAAGAGUUAUGGGAAAAUAAAAUAAUGAUGAGAGGCCAUGCAUUGUACUGCUGUACUACUAGGACCAAUCAUCUAACAUAGUAUAAAUGAUGACCACUGACUAUUCUAGAAAGUCUGAUGGAACACUAGCAAGCUUGCCACCUGUCGGUGUUAAUGAUAAUGCUUUUUAGGGAAAAGGAAAAAAUGUUCAUUCGGGUACUCUAUCCCCCUCAUGGUUGCCUUAUUGACAUAUACUAUUAUGGAAUCCCCAAAGUAGUAUUGUUUAUUCGUCGCUUAUAGUGAUCCUUUAGGACAUGUCCCUCAAGAUCAUCAUUUUAGGAGUGAGAAUAACGGGAAUGAGUAACAUGGUUAAUUGUUUGUUGUGAAAAUAUAAUUAAAUGAUUUAAUUAUUAUGGGUUGAAAACCCUAUGUACUCACCAGACUUUCCAGCAUGACCCACUCCGUUUCUUUGUAUCAUAGGUAAAGUUACGAAGGUACAUGGAUAAUGAUGUUUGAAUCCGCUGAGAGAUUUAAGGAGUUUAGACCAUUAGUAUAAUAAUUUGUUGUAAGGCCUGUAAUGACAAUGUUUAUGCUUAUGUUUCUUGUAUCAAUUAUGACAUCCCAAGUUUUUAAUAAUCAAUGAAAAACAUUUAUUCAUAAAUGCUUUUAUCUCAUAUUUGUUAUGGAACAAAUUCCACAUUUAUAAACUAUAUUGUGUUCAAAAUAAGCAUAAAGAAAAAGUCUUUUUUUGGGCUAUAAAAUUGGGGAUGUCAUAAUUGUUGAUUUAAAUGUUUCAGGUACUUUUGACGAUUGAGGUAAAGCGAAGACGUGACUGUGCACAUCAUCCAUUGGUCAUUAUGUUUUGAAAGAUGUUAUGAUUUUGAUACUCUAAUUUUAUGUCACGUGGAGAAACAAGGAUUUUGAUGACUUAUGGUUUUAUGAAAAACACAUUUUAUUUCCUUAAUUUUUUUACUAUGGUUUUUGGAACGUUACAAAAAUAGAGAUAAAUGUUAGACCGACAUCAUUUCCAUACAACAUUGUUACAAGAAAAAGCAAAAGUAUGUGUGGGAGAGAGACGGUCUGUGCAACGGGAAAUAGAAUCGAAGGAAUGGAAGAGUACUAAUGGCGAUGAAAUGAAUAGGUAAAAAACGAGGUUGCUGAGGUGUUUGUCCACAUCAACAACUCCUAUCACAUGUAACAUUUUAACUUUCUAUAGCCGGUAUAAGGACUAAAUGAACAGGUAAAAAACGAGUUUAUUCCCCUAAAGUAAAAAAAAAAAAAAAAAACUUGAGUGACCUUUUAAAAUAAAAGAGAAAAAUCCGUUGGGUUAAAAUGACAUUAAGGUGUUGUUUGUUUUUUGAAAAUAACAUUUUCAAACCUCUUAUUGCUGCGCGGCGCAGCACACGUGUAAUACUUUUCAUCUCGCAACUGUUUGUUUUUUAGAAAUCUUCUGAGUCAAAAACCUCUACGCGCGCUCUGUUUGGCGCAACACUUGUACUACCUCUUCCAACUUCUUCUUCUUCUUUUUUUAUUGCUGAAAUUUUGAUUAUAUGUUGUUAAAAUUUUAUUUCACAUUUUUUUUUUUCGUUUAUUCUUGUUGAAUUUAUUUUUUGUUUUUCUAUAUUCAAUAAUGAUAAUUUCUUGAUGAAAUAUCAUUAUUUUUUACUAAAUUAUCUUUAUUUUUUUUUGUUGAAAUAUCAUUAUUUUUUACUGAAAUAUUAUUAAUUUUUACCGAAAUGUUAUACAUUAUUAAAUUUUACGUAUUAAAAAGCUAUUUUCGGUUUAUAAAAUCAGUUUAUUUUAAUUUUUUAAUAUCUGCAGCAACAUGCAGAUAUUAAAAAAACAAACACGCUUCUUAUCACAGUCUACAGCCGUUUCGUCCACCUCUUCUACUGCAGAGGGUUGCAGAGGUGAUCCCGGACUUUAUGAAUUUUUGCUUCAAAAAAUCAAACAACACCUAACCCUUCAUUACAUACUAAAUUAUCGUUUUAAGUCAUGCAUUACAAAGUACUGGUAAAAUUUUAAGACUUGACAUUUCUAACGAAUCACAAUUAUUUAAAAGAUAAAUCCACUGCAAAUUUAUUUGACAAAUCUUUUGUUCGCAAAAAGAAUACAAUUUCUCGGCAUCUACAAAAAAAUAAAAAAUAAAAAAUAAAAAUAAAAAAGGUAAAAAGUAAAAAAAUAGAAAAAUAAAACACGAUUAGGGCGCAGGGCGCACCAAUUCAACAAACAAACUCCAUUAACGUAAAUUCAAGUUUGAGACAGAUUACAAUAGCAAAAAAUCUAACAAAGAAACACUCAAAUUAAACCGAAGACUAUGGCAGAUGCCUACUGCGGCGACUGCAAGAGGAACACGGAGGUGGUGUUCGAUCAUUCUGCCGGCGAUACCGUUUGUUCUGAGUGUGGACUCGUCCUUGAAUCCCACUCGAUCGAUGAGACCUCCGAGUGGCGUACCUUUGCCAACGAGUCCGGAGAUAACGAUCCCGUUCGUGUCGGCGGUCCCACCAAUAUCCUCCUCAACGACGGUGGUUUGUCCACCGUGAUUUCUAAACCUAACGGCGGCACCAGCGAUUUCCUUUCGUCUUCGUUGGGACGGUGGCAGAACCGAGGUUCUAAUCCCGAUCGUACACUCAUCUUGGCGUUUAAAACGAUCGCGACCAUGUCUGAUAGGUGAACCGUUUUGUCUAUUCAUUGGUCUACUAAGAUGUAUGAAUUUCGAUGAUUUAGGGUUUCAUCUUGUGCGUAAAGAAUGCUCUCAAUCUAAGUAACUAGGGAUGGCAAUACCGUUGCAUCUUUAUAUUUCCCCAGGAAUUAGAGAUAAGGAAUGUUGUGGAUUUAUUGGCUAUGGCUUCUUUAAUUGAUUGAUCUGUAAGUUGGAAGGCUUAGGUAUUGCAACCCUAUUUCUCCAUCUCUGGUGUCUGUGUUUUCCCUCUAGUUAAGCUUUGUAAGUGAUAGUUAAACUUGUACACAUUGUAAGGAGUUAUUUGUGACUUGUGGAUUUUGAAUUUGCGGGGUAUCAUUGAGAAUAUGUAGGACAGUAGGAGAAUUGUUGUUUCUACUUUCUUGUGAUGAUAACGACAGGAAGUAGUCAUCUUGCAUUUCAUUUGAUUCUUUUAGAUGAAUAAUUUCAGGGCAUCAAUUUAAUCUGUUCUAUUGAACAUUAUCAUUCUUGUUUCAACAAUUUUCACUUGAUUUACUUGGGUUGUCAAGUUUGUAUCUGAUAGACUUAAUUUAUUGUUCAGGUUGGGCCUUGUUGCAACAAUAAAGGUAUGCAAAUGCAACUGUGUAUUUCAGUCAUAUAAACUGCCUUAUCCUUUUGAAUUCUUCCCCCAUUUUUGGUGUGUAGUUUUGAUUUUGUUUAUGUAUUUACACACUAUAGGAUCGUGCUAAUGAGAUAUACAAAAAGGUGGAAGAUCAGAAGUCAAGCAGAGGGAGAAAUCAGGAUGCCAUUUUGGCUGCUUGCCUUUACAUUGCUUGUCGUCAAGAAGACAAACCACGAACAGUAAAGGGUACAAACAAACAUUGAUAUCAUUUAUAUUUAUAUUUGGAUUAUUCUAAUUUAUGUAUUCUCAAUCUCAAGAUUUCCUUCAACUCUCUUCGAAUAGAAAUAUAUGAAAUAGAUUUCUUCCUUGAACUCUAUUCAAAUAGAAAUAUGUUCGGUUGCCAAUGGAGCCUCAAAGAAAGAAAUCGGUCGGGCAAAAGAAUAUAUUGUCAAACAACUAGAGCUUGAGAUGGGUCAAUCUGUUGAAAUGGGGACUAUUCAUGCUGGUGAUUUCAUGGUCAGUUUUUUUAAUUUUUUUCCCUGUAAAUAUCUCAUAAUAUUUUUUAUUAAUUUGAGUUCUUUCGAUAUGUAUUUCUAAUGAUUAGAGACGAUUCUGUUCGAAUCUUGGAAUGACCAAUCAAACUGUUAAAGCUGCCCAAGAAUCUGUAAAGAAGGCAGAAGAGUUUGAUAUAAGGUAUUUUUUUUUUGUUUUGUUUUGGUUUCAUAUCCAAUAUAUUGAAUCAUUUGGGUUAUUCUUACAAAAUUUAUACAAUUUGUUUUUCAGGAGAAGCCCGAUAUCUAUAGCUGCAGCUAUUAUUUACAUAGUAACUCAACUUUCGGAUGAGAAAAAGCCCCUCAAAGGUAGAUAUAUAAAAAUGCAACAUUUGACUUUACAUAAUUGGUGAAGUUAAAUGUAAGUUAUGAUGUAAAAGUUGCUAAAAAAGGAAUUUUAUGGAUGCAUCAGAUGUAGCACUUGCAACUGGAGUUGCAGAAGGGACAAUCAGAAACUCGUACAAGGAUUUGUAUCCUCAUUUGACAAAAAUCAUACCAACUUGGUAUGCACAAGAAGAUGAUAUUAAGAACCUAUCUAGCCCUUAAAAACCCAUACAUACUCUUUUAAAACUUCAUUAUUUUUCUUUUUGGAUCUUCUUCUGAUACCAAAGAAGAUAACAGUUAACAUGGGUAACAUUGUUUUCAAUUUAAUGAAUGGAUUUGAAUGUGUCCUUGAGGAUUGUCCCAUAUUGGGUACCAUGAAAUCCAAUUUGGGAUAAUCCACAGUUAUACGAGAGUAUGAGUACAUAUAUGCCUAAUUAAGAUUGCUCAAAUAUUUUUUUUAAUAAAUAGUAAAUUCUAUCCUAUACCAAGUAUAUGAGAGUAUGACUUUCAACCAUAUUGAUUGACAAUCAUACUAUUUAUUAUAAUUAUGUCCUUAUGACUUUAAGCACGAUGAAAAACUUAACAAGACUUCCAACUACAUUCAUAAGCAUACACUCACAUUCUCAUUAUACGCCAAAGAUACAUUAUUCUCUCUCGGAUGACGAGAGUUUCUGUGACAUCUCCAUGAAUAUGAGGGGAAAAUUUCAAGUCAAAUAUGGUACUUAGUAUUUUUUUUAGAUAGUCUAGUUUCUCUGUCGUAAUAUCAUUAUCUUGAACACCAUUAUCAUGAAUGCCAUUAUCAUGUUUUCAGUGAUUUUUUUCCCUAGAUCUAAACUGUUUUACCAAGAAAGUUAAAAUGUAAGAUUUAUUUUCUAUUACUAUUUACUACUACAAAAAUCUUCAAAGAAAGCUCCAUAUAUAGAGUUAGGUUUAAAUGUUUCUAACAACUAUAUAUAUAUAUANNNNNNNNNNNNNNNNNNNNNNNNNNNNNNNNNNNNNNNNNNNNNNNNNNNNNNNNNNNNNNNNNNNNNNNNNNNNNNNNNNNNNNNNNNNNNNNNNNNNNNNNNNNNNNNNNNNNNNNNNNNNNNNNNNNNNNNNNNNNNNNNNNNNNNNNNNNNNNNNNNNNNNNNNNNNNNNNNNNNNNNNNNNNNNNNNNNNNNNNNNNNNNNNNNNNNNNNNNNNNNNNNNNNNNNNNNNNNNNNNNNNNNNNNNNNNNNNNNNNNNNNNACCACCUAGUAUUUUAAAAGUGUAAAAUACAUCAUAUACUAUAUAUAUGUAACAUUAAAAGUCUAAUAUUAUAUAUAUAUAUAUAUAUAUAUAUAUAUAUAUAUAUGAGAAAAAAAAAACAAAAUUACUGAAAACAAAGUAACUAACAAUUUACUAAUAAAUAGACUACGUAUAGUGCUUUAGAAUGGUAUACUAGGUAUACUUAGAAUGGUAUACUAGGUAUACUAGAUUGGUGUUCAAUAAAAUGAUGUGUACGAUGCUAUAUAUGAUGUGUACGAUGCUAUAUAUGCCUAGUGAUGUGAGAAAUGAACGGAUCAAUCUCUUUACGAGAUUCACCACUCUCCUCCACCGACCUCUGCACUUUGUCUGCCAAUUCCACCGCCCUCUUCCUCACCUCCUCCCCUUCCUUGGAGUCCAUUAAUCUCCUAACAACAUCCUUCACCACCACCGACUUCACCAACUCAUCUCUAUGUUGCCAAUCGUUCACCACCAACCCAAUUCUAAGAACAUCAGUUAUCAAAAAUGCAUUUCUUGGCUGAUCAGACUCCCCUUGAUAUACUUUCUGUACAUGAGUUCCAUCCACAAUGAGUCAUGAACCCACCGGUUGCAACAUGUCCCAAAAUCUCCAUUUGUGGUGCCCACUCACGCACCACUAGUCCCCGUCCUUCCACCCGCUCUUCAAACCCUUCCGGCAAAUCCACCAUUUUAGCCUCCUCACCAAUCACAUCCCCUUUGUCCGCCGCUCGUGCCACCCAGAUAAACCUCUGCCGGCUUCUCUCUAACCCAAUAGCCAGCUCUGUAAUUUGUUCGUCGGUGAAGGUGGUUGUUGUCCCAAAAGACAUAGGAGGCUGCAUGUGUCACACCCCCGAACCAGACGGCGGAAACGUCCGGGGGCUGUCGUGACUCAAUUGCAUAUCAUAACAUUGAAUAUAUAUGAAACAUAACAACAUUCGUCACCAUUCAUUUCAUAUUACAACCAGUAGUGUUUACAUGUCAUACAUUGUUUAAAACAUUACAUUCACAAAAAUUAAUUUGUUCCAUUCAUUCAAAAUUAAACUGCAACCGUCACUGGAUAUGAUUUCCCUUGAUUCACUGGUUCCCUGAGAAUACAAGUAUUUUGAAAAACGUCAACAUAUGAAAUGUUGGUGAGUUCAUAAGUAGUGUUUGAAAUCGAAUGUUUGUAUUGCUUGAAAAACCACCAGAAAAUCCGAUAUUUUCUGAAAAGAAAAGCUUUUGAAAACGUUUGUGAAGAUCCAUAGGUAUGCUUGUUUGUUUCUAUACUUGUAAAAAAAAUGUUCAUUGAAAAUGUAUGCAUUUCAAAUCUGUAUGUAUUGAAAACCCUAGGGAAACCCGAUGUUCCCCUAGUUCCUUUGGAAUCCAUUAAGUUACGUUGAAACCAUUACGAAGAUAGCAGUGUCAGUCCCAGGCGACGUUGGAAGGUUCUCGAGCAUGAUUAUUUACUACAAACCCGCAUUACACAAACGCCCAGUUUAUAGUUAUACUAACGAUCCCGAAGGCGUCGUCCGUACUAAUCACGUUAUCCAAUCGCCCUGACUAGGUGUAGUCCCACAUCCGAAGAGAAAGAGGUCACGAAGACCCCGGUGACUCCAUUAACCGGUUGGGGAAAAUAUGCGUGCGAGGGGUCCCCGACCCGCCUCGUAAAAUAUGCAGACUCUUCUAGCAAUACCAAGGACCCUUGGGGACCAGUGGUACAAGCCAUUGAAAGUCACUCUACGUUGUGCCAAGUCGGUGAAACUCAACACUUCGUAGAAAAUAUGUGUCUUCGGGCCUUAAGAUCAGGUCAUUGGGCUAGCUAGGCCCAACAAGCAAGAUUUUACACUUUUGGGGCCCGAAGAUGGUGCGUAGACGUCUGUGCACACUCGUAUGUAUAUGUAUUACCAAACGUUAUUUGUAUGAAUCGUAGUAUCGAAGAGUUAGUAGUUGUAGAUUUCCAUUGGCUCGAGACCGAGCCAAUUCGUUUAACAACGACUUUUGGUAUUGUAAUGAGUUGUAUUUCGUCGAUAGUCGAGGUGUCAUUAUUUGAUCAAAUUGUACAUAUUGAAUUAGCCUUGAAAUAUUUCUGUUUUCAGCCCCUCAUUAUUUGUAAAAUUUACAUUUUCAACCCUUUUAUUGUAAUAUUUCCCGGUUUGGUCCUUAAACUAUUUUUCUUGACAUUUUAACACCAAAAAUUAUUGAAAUUAAUAUUUUCCAGCAUAUUUUUCAUAGAAAACAGUUUAAGUCCCUGAAAAUGCAGUUUUUCUCGGUUUUAGCCCUUCUUUUCGCAAUUUUGACAAUUUUGGCCCAAAUUGGAAAAUUUUUGCAACUUUGGUCCUUUUUAAAUUUAAAAAGCAUUUUAAACCUUUGAAAAGGAUUUGGGACACUUAUAGUCCACUGUUUUACAGAAAUUCACAGUUUUGGCCCUUCAAAACAGAAAAAUUCGCAUAAUGGGCCUCCUUGGGCCGAAAUUUUCAUUUUUAGCCCAAUAAGCUUGAAAUUUAUGUUUUUAAUCCUCUAAUUGAAUAUAAUUCCAGAAAUAGUUUUAUGGAAACUGUUUUGGCACAUUUCAUCCAUCAGAAUCUGUGAAAUGUCAAUUUGGGCCCUUAAUUUUGUAUUUUUCACAUUUUUGGCCCAAAAUGUGUGUUUUUAGCUUAAAGAAAAUUGUUGCUAACCACUUAGCUAUUUUUCUUGUAUCACUUUAUAUGUAGAAAUAUAUUUGAAGCUAAAAUCAUAAAACAUAAGUUAUAUCUCGGUUUUGAGGGGUUUAAUGGCUAGAUCCAACAUUAAAACACAUAUAAGCAUACAUAUAAGCAUGGAAAUCAUACAAGGCAUACAAACACAUAUAGAUCUACACUUUCACUUGUAUUCCCCCCCCCACAAAACUCAUAAAAACAGAAAAUAGGGGUAUGAAUCUCACCUUGGGUGUAGUUUCGGUUUUUGGAAGAAAAGAUGGAAGAAAAAUGAAGUGUUUUUGGCCUUGGCUCCCUUUGAUGAAGAUCUUGAGUUUUGAGAUGGUUCUAGGGUGUAAGAUCACGAUUUUUGCAUAGGUUAGGAAAGGAUUUUGAUAACAAAAGAAUUUAAACCAUAGAUCUAUGCAUGAUCUUACCUUAGAUGAAGAAUUUUGUGGAAGAACCUUCUUGAAUGCUUCCAAAUUUUCGAGAUUUUGGAUGGAGGGGAAGAGAUGUUCUUGAGUGAUCUAGAGAGGAUUUGAGAGAUUUUUGAGUGUGUGUGUGGGUGUAUGGCCGAGAGUGAGAGAGAAGAGAAGAAGAGAUGUGAUCUUGAAGUGAUAUGCAUGGAAGCAUGGGAAGUAAUGCAUGGAAGUCCUAUGGGUAAUAGUGAGGUGGCAACCAAAGUCAACUUCUCUUCUUAUCCUCUUGAGUUUGGGCCUUUGGGCCGAGAUUUUAGAGAGGGAAAAGAAAAAUUUGGGCUUUUUCCCUUAAGCCCAAAAUUAGAGUUAGUUAGAGUGUGUCUUAUGCUUAAGAGAAUGUAGUAGGAUUUUUAUGUUUUUCUUGAACUAGUUUUAGGUUAUUCAUGUAUCAAGGCUCUUAAUCCAUUUCAUUCAUGACCUAAAAUGUUGAAAUAAAUAAAUAUGGGUCCACUUAGAGUCCAAUUAGGGUUCUAAGCCCAUGAUAGUCUAAUUGGAAGCUUAUUGGUCCAUUUGGAUCCAAUAGGGGAGUCCUAAUCCAAAAUGGACUUAACAAGGACUUCUAGGGUUUCCAAUUGUUUGAUGACUAUUUGUAGUACUAGCAUAAUGUAUUUGAUUGAAGUUUUUGAUUCACAUUAACUAGAAUGUAUAGAUUACAUGGCUCAAAAUUUACAGUUGUGACAGCAUGUCCAGCCAUUGCAAGCAUUUGUGACGGUUAUUUGAAACCUUAAAAGUUGAUUUGUCCACAUCCACAUGAUUAAUUAACGGCCCUAUUGCCCAAAACUUCUUCUUGCCAUUAAUCUGUUCUCUCUCUAAAUAUUCAAGAUAUUCACCUUCGAUGACUCUUGAUGAAUCGAAUAACUCUCCAACAUGUGAACCGUCUUGGGCUAUGAUUUGAAGAUUCACAAAGUCUAUAAACUCCGGCGAGAAACAUCCAUCACUAGACGGCAGCCGUUUUAGCAUUCCCGGGUCCACCGGGAAGGGUCUGCUCCUUCUCUCCCAGGCUCCCCAAAAAGUGUCAAAAGCUGAGACCGGAUCGAAGAUGUAAGUCACGGCGUUUGGUAUAGAUUUUACGUUUUGAACAACGUACAACAUCAAGGAAUCAUGGACGACGACGACUCUCUUGGUGGUGCUAGAGAGAGAACGUAUGAGUUCGGUAACUGGGCGGCGGAGAUGGAGGGAUGAAUCAAUGGCUGGUUGUAGGUGGGCAGGAAACCGGUUGGAAGGGUUGGGUUGAGGAGAAGUGAAGGGAGGGGUUCGGAAUUCGUGGAAGUGGAUCAGGUUGGAGGCAGCGGAGUGUGAACUGAAAUCUUGGAAGCGGGAGCGCACUUGGCGGAUGUGGGUGGUGGUGGUUACGAAGUGGACAGGAAUUUUAUAGGUGGAUAUAAGGCGGGAAAGGUGAACGAGCUGGUUGAGAUGACCAUGAGCUACGAAGGGCACCAUCACCAUCACCUCUAAUUUAGACUCACCAACUAAAUUUCAAAAAUAAAUAAAAAAGACGGAGAAAACAUAAUUAACGGAAUGAAGUAAAUGAACUACUCUUGGUGAAAGCCAAAUAUGCUAUAGGAGCAAAGCAAAGACGCUGGUCGUGCUAGUUGUCACAAUAUUAAUAUAUGGUGUUUUUAAAUAUAUUUUUAGGCUAUUGACAUGAAAACAAGAAUUUUUUUUCAAAAAACGAAUAUUUAUUCUAACAUCACUUUUUGGAACGUUAAAACCAAAACUUUGUACGUUUUUUUGUAUUUUUGUUUUUGAUGAUAAUUAAGAUAUUUUUUCAUUCCGUUAAUUAAGUUUCCAAUGACAUGCUGAAUGUCUAUGAUUCCCAUAUGCAACACUAAAUGACAAGAAAGGCGUCAGUAGUGAACACCCAUCCCAAAUCACGUGCGUUUAGUUAAUUUGAAUUAUGCUGUAAUUAUAAUAUUAAUUAAUAUCUAGAAAAACACUGCUUCUAACUAACCACUAACAAGUUAUGAGAAAGGCCUCAGCCCUCAGCAGAUCUAGAACUAGAACCUCCACAAUAGGAUCAAAACCCAAAAAUGGAAGGCGACGAGCGAAAUGCUACAAUACACUCCCCGUCGCCGGUAGCCGAAGUAGUGGUGGUGAUGGUGCCAUUCCUAGCUCAGGGCCAUCUCAACCAGCUUCUACACCUUUCCCGCCUUAUAUCCACCUACAAAAUCCCUGUCCAUUUCGUAACCACCACCACCCACAUCCGCCAAGUGCGCUCCCGCUUCCACGAUUUCAGUUCACACUCCGCAGCUUCCAAUCUCAUCCACUUCCACGCACUCCCAACUCCUCCCUUCACUUCUCCUCAUCCCAACCCUUCCAGUCGGUUUCCGUCUCACCUACAACCCGCUUUCGAAUCAAGUCUCCAUCUCCGCCGCCCAGUCGCCGACCUUAUAUUAUCACUCUCUAGCUCCACAACGAGAGUCGCUGUCAUCCAUGACUUUAUGAUGUCCUACGUCGUUCAAGACGUGAAAGCGAUACCAAAUGCCGAGACUUACAUCUUCAGACCCCUAUCCGCUUUCCAUACCUUCUGGCUAACCUGGGAGAGAUUGAGCAGACCCUUCCCGGUGGACCCGGGAAUGCUAAAACGGCUCCCGUCUGCAGAUGGAUCUUUGUCGCCGGAGUUUAAAGAAUUCGUUAAACAACAGUUACCCCAUGUCGGUUAUCACGUCGGAGAGUUAUUCGAUUCAUCAAGAGUCAUUGAAGGUGAAUAUCUUGAAUAUUUAGAGAGAGAAGAGCUGAACGACUAUAAGAAGCUUUGGGCAAUAGGGCCGUCUAAUCAUGUUGACAGAACAUCUUUUACCGUUUCCAAAAACCAUCAUAAAUGCUUGCAAUGGCUGGACCUACAGCCUCCUACCUCCGUCGUUUAUGUGUCUUUUGGGACAACAACAACCUUCAGUGACGAACAAAUUACAGAGCUUGCCAUUGGGUUAGAGAGAAGCCAGCAGAGGUUUAUCUGGGUGGUUCGUUCGGCGGACAAAGGGGAUGUGUUUGGGGAUGAAGCUAAAAUGGCGGAUUUGCCGGAAGGGUUUGAAGAGAGGGUGGAAGGGCGGGGAUUGGUGGUGCGGGGGUGGGCACCGCAGACGGGGAUUUUGGGUCAUGUUGCAACCGGGGGGUUCAUGACUCAUUGCGGAUGGAACUCCUGUACAGAGAGUAUAUCAAAUGGCGUGCCAACGGCUACUUGGCCAAUGCAUUCUGAUCAGCCACGUAACGCGUUUUUGAUGACUGAUGUUCUUAGAAUUGGGUUGGUGGUGCAAAAUUGGGAACAUAGAGAUGAGUUGGUGACGUCGGUGGUGGUGGAAAAUGUUAUUAGGAGAUUAAUGGAUUCGAAGGAAGGGGAGGAGGUGAGGGAGAGAGCGGUGGAAUUGGCGGACACAGUGAAGAAGUCGGUGGUGGAGGGUGGUGAAUCUAGUAAGGAGACUGAUUCGUUCAUUUCCUACAUAAGCAGGCAUGGAUAACAAUAGGUCCAAAUGAUUUCUUCUAUGUUUCAUGUAAUUCUCUUAUGCAUCCAAUAUAUAUUGGCAACUCAUUCAUAUGCUUAAUUAUUUCUCCCUGUGUUGUUUCAAUCUUUUGAUUGUUUUGAGAACACUGUUUUAUUCACUCCCAAGGCAUUCUUGAUACUUUUUUCAUAUAUACUAUAGAACAUAUACGGUUAAAGGCCUUUAUUUUUAUUUUUUUCGAAAAUCAUUCCCGACGGAACUUGUGCCGACAACAUGUCAUCGAUAUAGGGGUAUGUACCUAUCCUGAUGACAAUUUCCACCUAUACCGACAAGGCUAUGCCGACGAAUCUGUGCGACGACAUGUCUUCAAUAUAGCCUAUCGCGAUGACAUGUUGUCGGCAUAGGGUUAAAAAGUGUGGUCGGCACAGGGGUUGGAAAAAAUGUUGUCUAGCAAAGAAGUUGGAGGGGGGGGGGGGGGGGGGUGGUUGGUNNNNNNNNNNNNNNNNNNNNNNNNNNNNNNNUGAUGGCUUGUUUUUGUAAGUGCUUCUCUAUAAAUGGAGAUAGAGGUGUCUACAAGUUCAAGAUGAUCAAACUUUAUAAGUUCUAUUAUAAAAUAAACUCAUAGAACAAAUGUGUGUUUUUUGGGCAACUGAUGAUUGGAAGUUCGGUCCUAUAGUACUCAUAGUGGAGAGCUCUUGUGCAAUCAGAAGAAAUGGUUUGGAUCUUAGUUAUUUCUCCUCUUAAAGGUGAGAAAUGAAAAGAAAAAAAAACCAAGUUUUUGGGAAGAUAUUUAUAAUCUUCAAGUUUAAACAAACUUUGAAUUUUCGCUCUUGAGAUGAACAAAUCGGCUUCGAUUUACAAUGGAGUUUCGACUCUUUGUUAGCAUUCAUUCUUGUGUAGCUAGCCAACAUAAAGGAAGAGGAGCAUUGGUGUGAACUCUGAAAUGGACAACUUACUUUAUUCUUUUGCCAUCACAUGUUAGAUGGAUGAAUUUAGAUUUAAUGGGUACUUUCACGAUCUCUACAAUUUAGACUGACUUGAUGACACUAGUUAAUAGUUAUCAUAGAUUGUUAUGGCGAGUGAUCAUUUAGAAGAUCAUUGUCCUCCACUAGCUUAACUACAAGAGAUUUUAAAUCGUAUCUCACCGUAUUCGUUUUAUCCUCUACCAAAUCUUUUGAUCUCAAUGAUGUUAAGCAACUCUUGAUCGAAGCAAUCAUGGCUUCGAAGUUUUUGUUUUUUUUCAUUCGGGGUCUUACCUUGGGGAUAGACGAUGGACCCAAUUUUUAAAAGAAAAUUUCAUCAAAUAAAAGGAGUUUACAUUUUGUGACAUCUCUUGACACCCUUAGUUUUAAUAGGGAUCUUGCCUCAUGAUUUUAUUGGUCCUAGGUAGACUCGAGUCCUCGAACAAUUUGGUUAUGGAGAAUAUUUUGUAGCUCUAUGAGAUGAAUUUUUUUGUUUUUAUUAAGUUGAACAUUUUGGGUUAGAAAUUACGUUUAAAAAAUUGCUUAUAAGUUUAAUCAAUAAACCUCAUUGAUAGAGGUUUGGAUGUUAACCAAGUUGUUUAUCAUAUUUGUGAUGCUCAUAAUGAAACAACGGAUCAUAUUUUUAGUACUUGCAAGGUUGGGGCUUCUAUUUGGUGCCUUAUAGUUACUUACUAGGGUUUCGAUAAUCUAAAUGUCGGUUCAGUCUUCUCAGAGUUUGUGACUUGGGUGGAUAAACUAAUACUCAGUUUUAUAUAUAGAAAGAAAAUGCUUCGAUACAAUUGUUAAUACAGCUGUUUGAAUUAUAUGGAGCUAUGCUAACAAAAUUAUUUUUGGAAAAAUCAAAAUGCAGAAAACGGUUUUGUUUGAUAGAAACAUCACUCAUUUUUUUUGUAGGUUUGACAUUUCUUGAUACGACCCACGACAAGACAUGAAAUUAACGGGUUUGGAUUGAGUUUUUCAACCUGUCAAUCCGUUUAUUAAACAGGUCAUAUAUGAGUUUUUCAAAAGAAUAUAUGGGUUGACCUGCUAACCUGUUUAGAAUUUUAAUAAAAAAAUUAUAUAUUUUUUAAAAGUAUUAAGUAUUAUACACUAUACAGUUUAUACUUUAUACUAGGAUAGGAUAUCCGAUACCAUUGACCAUUUGACAUUUGGCGUUUUCCCUAAAUAUUCUCAGUAUCUCACAAACAAAAUCGAAUAAGCCCUCUCUCGCUCUCUCGUCUGUGAUGAACGACAGAACAAGCUCACGAAUAACGGCAACAUGAAUUAUUAAAUCAUUAUCGAACAACUUCGAUGCUUGAACGUGAACGACAGACACACAACACAGUAGACAAUCGAUUUGCUGUGAUCCAACCUACGAACACACGAACCCAAAUCUGAACCAUGAACCCACCAACCUUUGAACCCGUAUAAAUAAGUGGGUUGACGGGUCAUAUAUGAAUUUAUGUUCCAAAUCCGCCAACCCGUGACAUGUAUAGUUACAUAGAUCGUGUUUAGGUUGGUAUAUUUUGACCCGCCAACCCACGACAUGUCAACCCGAACACAACACGAUUGUCAGACCUAGUUUUUUUUAGUCUUUAAUAGAAGUUGUAAGUGUAAGAUUAAUUUGGUUGAAUGGUUGCAUACCCUUCUUUUUAUUAUAUCUGAUAUAUAAUGUUUGUUUUUUUUCUCGUAUCUUGAUUGGUUUUUAUAUAAGAUAUUUUGUUUGAAAAAAUAACAAUAGUCAAAAAAACAAAGUAAGGGACGAUAUAAGAAUAUAGACAUAAUUAAAAAAAAAAUCAAUUUCAACGUUAUCCUUCCAACAAAACAGUAAAAGACAUUAUUUCUAUAAAUAAAAUAUAUAUCAACAUCAAGAUAUGAGUCACCAAAAUUAAAACCUAAAUUAAGAUCACUGCCAAAAUAAGGUUAACUAUAAGAAAAAAUAGACUUUAUAUCAACUAGGUAGUUGUGAUCUUUAUACGGUUGGAUAAACAAAAAUAUUUAUAUAAUAUUAAAUAUAAAGGAUUAAACAAAAUUUUAUUUAGAUUUGAAAUUUAAAAUUUUAAUUUUGAAUUUAAAAAGAAACAUAUUAAAUACUAUAUAAGUAAUAAUAUUGUAAUUUAUUGGUUAUUUUUAAUUAAGACAAUUAUUAAUUAAGGUGUAAAUAUGAUGUGUUAAUUAAGAAAAGAUUAAAAAAAAAAUAAGAAAAUGACAAAUAAAAAAACAUUUAUUCAAAAAUACUAGAAAAUGACAUGUGUACAAGUUAAUGAGAAGGUGACAUGUGGCAAAAUUAUUUUCAUUUAUUAUGAAGGAUUUAUUAAUUUAGUUUGCGUGUCAACAUAGAUGAUAAAAAUAUCUGAAUAAAUCAAAAAAAGCCAAGCUCGAGAUUUUAGGCCGGUUGUUAGACCGAUUAUAAGAUUUAUUUUAAAAGAUAAUUUUGGUAUUAUGGUUUUAAAAUUAUAGUCAUCCGAUUACACGAUCAUAUUAAUUCAGUAAUGAAAUACUUAUAAUUUUAUAAUACUUAUGCUUUUAUAAUCUCAUCAUUAUCAUUAUCAUACAUACUUAUAAAGCUAGCAUUUUUUCUUGAAUCUCAUACAUUUGAAACCCCCAUUUUUAACUUCCUCAAACCACAUUCAUUUGAAACUCUAUUUUUUAACUAAUGCAACUCAAAGUUUUAUAACUUAUAUUAUGUUUAAUUAGCAUUUAGUGAAAAGUUUACUAUAAAAAGGCCAAUCUUUUGUGUCUUUUAUGUUAUAUAAAAUCUUAUAUGUAAGAAGGAUUUGAAGAUAUUGUGAUUCAAAGCAUUCACGAUCCAAAUAUGAUGAUUUGAAGAAAUGAGUUAUGUCGCAUCGAUAGUAAUUGUAAUAUGAUUUUUUCUUUCAACAAAAACAAAUGAAGCUUUUCUAUUCUUUCUUUAUAUUUAGUUUCUCAUUUAAUCUUUAUAUGUGAUUUGUGUGUAUUACUCAAUCUUGAAUGUGACUCUCCAAACAUCAUUGUUUUGCUUGGAAUAUCUUUAUGAUUCUUCUUUUUCAAUAAAAAUAUUUUGAUUGCAGGUUAGUGAAGAAUUGUCAUCAAGUUUCUAUGGUUGAAUGGUGUUAAAUGAAGAAAGAAGAUUCAUAAAAUGAAUAUAGGUUUUUUUGUUUGAGCAAGUUGACGAAUGUUAGUUUUUUCUUUUGAUUUAAAUGUAUGUUUAUGUAACAUUUUUAUUUAUAUAUUCAACCACCCAAUGCUCUUAUUUAUUUGAUUGUAGUUUUUCUAUUUUGAUUAUGUUUAUUUUCUACUACCUCCGUCCCAAUUUGAUAGUCCACUUUUGACUUUUGAAGUCUUUUUUCUUCAAUUUUAACCUUAAAUAUUUUUGCUUUUGAUAAAUAAUACUUGAUGCCAAAUAUACGAAUGGAUUUUAUUUUAAAUGUUUUUUCAUUGUUAUAAGUUUUAUUAAGUAAUAUAUAAUACAAAUAAAAAUAUUUAUGGUCAAAGUGAACAAAAAAGACUUCAAAAGUCAAAAGUGGGUUAUCCUACACAACAUAUUUAAGUAAUAUAUAAUACCAAUGCUCUUAUUUAUUUGAUUGUAGUUUUUCUAUUUUGAUUAUGUUUAUUUUCUAUUAUUUUUUUGUUGGGUUAUCCUACACAACAUAUUUAAAAGACAAUAUUUAAAAGAUAACAUAAUUUUGAACAUUUGAUAUGUAAUUAUGAUUGACUUAUCAUGAUAUGUUCUUCAUAUUAAAGUAAUUUAUCCAUAUUACUACGACAAGAAUUACAUAUGACAUUUACGAAAAUAUAUAUAUAUUAUAUGUGAUUUGUUUAACAUGUAUAUGCACCUAUGCAUGUUAUAAAUUUAUAAUUAAAUAUCUUUAUGAUUAAUAAUUGAAGGGAUUAAAAUGAUGCAUCAAACCAAUUAUUUAUACGAAUAUAAUAAUAAUAAUAAUAAUAAUAAUAAUAAUAAUAAUAAUACAUUUCCAAUUACCGCACUUAUUUGAAAUCACACUACAACUCAAUAGUUUUCUAAUUUAUAUAUAUUUAUUAGUUACAACUCAAAAGUUUUUAACUUAUGAUCAUUAAUUAGUAAUCACUAAUAAAUUUUUAUUUUCCUUUCUUUUAUAAGGUUGUAAAGUUUUGCUCAUUAAAAAACAUUAAUGUAUUAGAAGAGAUUUGUGAUUUAAAUAUGAAGAGUUAAUAUAAAUGUUAUAAUAGAUGUUUUAGUCUUUUUAUGUUAUUAAAAGUUAUAGUGUUUGUUUUUCAUAUUUUUUAUUAUUCGUUGUAUAUAUAUCUCUUUUUAAUACAAAUGUUAUAAUAAAUGUUUUUCUAUUUUUAUGAUACUAAAAGUUGUCGUUCAUAUUUUUGUUCAUACGUUUUGUUACCCGUUAUAUUAUCAUUCAUUUGAUAUAUAAUUUACAAAAUUUUAAACGGUUUAUAAAAUUAUCAAAUAAUUGUAUAUAUUACAAUGACUUAAAAAUUAAACUAUAAUGUUUAAUAAAACUAAUAUGUUAACUAUAUGUUUGCUUUACUACUAACAUUUUGUUUCAAAAUAGAAAUAUUAAAUAAUAAUUUGGUAAAAGUUAUUAUUUUAACUAUAUAAUUCUAUUCUUGCGUAACGCGCGAAGAUUCGCUUAGUGUUUAAUAAAAUUAAUAUGUUAACUAUAUGUUUGCUUUACUAUUAAUAUUUUGUUUCAAAGUAGAAAUAUUAAAUAAUAAUUAUGUAAAAGUUAUUAUUUUAAUUAUAUAAUUCUAUCCAGCACAACGCGCGUAGAUUCGCCUAGUAUACUUAUAAAAGAAAUAUUUUUCCUUUCACUACAUUCAUAUGAAACCCCCAUUCAUUUUUCCUUUCACCACAUUCAUUUGAAACUUCCAUGACUUUUCAAUUUCUUUUUAAUAAUGAUUAUAAGUUGGUUACUAAGGUUAAAUAAAUAUAAAACCUAAAAUGUAAUCAUAUAUAAACUAAAUUUCAAUAUUAAAAGAAUAUAAUUUCUUCUACUUAUAAAUUUAUGUUUUUAAUUUUUAACAUAUUAUACUUAAUUUAUUAGGUCUAAUAUGAUGUUGUAUGUAAACCAUUAUCAUUUUAAGGCUACAACUUUUGAACAAUUUGUAUAAAAUACUUAAAUUGCCAUUUUAAAUAUAACCUUAUAGGAUCAACUUAAAUAUAAAUUUUAGUUCAACUUAAACAACCAAAAAAAUAUUUUGUAAAUAGUUAUGAAUGAUAAAUUAUAUUGUCUUUCUAAUAAUGAUUAGAAGUAGGUUAAUAAUUAAAUAAGUAUCAAACCUAAAAUGUAAUUAUAAAUAAACUAAUUUUCAAUAUUAAAAUAAUAUUUUUAUUUCUACUUAUAAAGUUAUGUCUUUAACUUUUAACAUAUUAUUCUUCAUGUAUUAGAUUUAAUAUGUUGUCUUAUGUAAACCAUUAUCAGUUUAAAGCUACAACUUUUGAACAAUUUGGACAAAAUACUUAAAUUGUUAAUUUAAAUAUAACAUUAUAUGGUCAACUUUAAUAUAAGUUUCAGUUCCACUUAAAAUACCCAAAGAAUAUUUUGUGAUUAGUUAAAAAUGAUAGAUUGUAGUGCUAAAUGCAAAAACUAAAUUGUAAUAUCAAUUUAACUAAAAUAUUUCUUAAAGAUAUUUUUAUAAUCGUUAAAUUUUUUUAAAUAAGUAGCUUAAAAUAACUUACAAUUACAAUAGUUAAAAAUAACUCUAUAUAAAUGAUUAUAUUGUUAUCUUUAAAAUAAAAAAAAAUUUGUUUGAUGUUUUAAAUAAUUACAAUGAUAGAAAUUAAAACUUUAAGCAAAUAAAUUUUAAAAAAUUAAUUAACAAUAACAACAACUAUAAAUAACAUUAAACCAUAUAUUAUAUUUAGUCUUAUUCAUGAGUAUCUCGCGAGUAGAAGUCAUUCAAAAGAUUGAGAUUAAGCAGUUUUAAUAGAUGUAUAUAUUAUCAUAUAAUUCAAAAUAAUCAAUAUAUUAUAUUAACUUAGUAUACGAAUUAUUAUAUCAAAUUUAACAACAUUAUUGUUAUAUUUAAAAAAACAUAUAUUUAUAAAGAUUUCAGCUAUAUUGAUGCUUCUGCGCAACACGCGGACAUUCGCCUAGUAUCCUAAUAAAAGAGUGCCAAUAUGUUAGGUGGCAUCUCCAUAGCCCUCCACAUAACCUUUUCAGGCCUAAAAGUUUCUAUAUAAAAUACCUAAUAUUAGAUUAUAACCCACAGUAAAUGCAAGGGAACACAUAAAAAACAUACAAAUACCCACAGAUAUUACAUAAUAAUUAUCAUAUUUUUUAUGACUAUUGGUAUUAUUGAAAUGUGUAGAAGAUACACUGAAAUCGAUAAAUAUCUAUAAUCGUUGAAGGAUCUCUUUAUAAACAAUAUUUUUUGUUUUAUUUGUUGAACGACCUUCCUCGUCACAUAUGAGUAUCUUCAAACAUUUUUUAUUUGUGGCACGGGAAACAACUACAUAUAACUGACCAUGCAUGGAUACAAUUAAAUGAAUAUGGUCACCCGUAGAGAGAACAAUAAUAUCUUCUGGAAAUUCAACUUCAACUUCACCAUCAUUAGGGCCACCGAUAGUACCUUCACCAAUUUUAAGAAUCCAUUCAACAAAUUAUUGUGUCUCUUCGGAAUUAUUGUUUGGAAAACCGAUCUGAAGCCUCAUGUUACCGUCAAACGUAAAACUUUACAUUUACGCCAUAAUUCGGAUGAAUGCAAUGAUUUCUGGACAAUAUCUGAACGAUUUCCUCUUUGAUUUACUGGAAGAAUCAGUCGAAAGUCACCUCCAAAUACAAAAGUCUUGCCUCCAAAUGGUUUAUUCUUGUUCGAUGAAAGGAUAACAUCGAUAAGUUUCCAAUUAAAUGUUUCGAAACAAUGACGGUGCAUCAUCGAGGCUUCAUCCCAAAUUAAGCACUUAAGUUACCUAUACCAUAAGACUUUCAAACCAUGUAACUAAUAAUUGACUUUGUUCGUAUGUUAGCAAAUUACAUAUGGAGGAGGUAGUAAUGUAAACAACCAAGAUCAAGUGGAGAAGAAGAAAUUUUGGUAAACCCAAAACAAACCAUCUUGAAGUAAGGUACUGAUUUGGAACUACAAAACACUUGUAUGGAAUAUACAGGAUAUUCAAUUCAUAGUUAGAUCACUUAAAUUCCAAAAAACAAAAAUUAUUAUAGCAUUGUAGUUUCAUUUCUCAUUACAAAAUUUUACUUCCAACUUAUUUCUUAUUAGGACAUUGUAUUUUGAAAUUGUUUACCCUCGUUGCUAUAAUGGUAAACUUUUCAAAGUACAAUGCCAUACAAUAAAUAAUUUAAAAUCCCUUCUUCAUACUUGUUUUAGUUGCAUUUUGCAGAGAUUGAUCCUUCAGUCACAUGGGAGGGACAACGGGUUUUUGACAUCAUUAUAUAUGGUGAUAACUUGUUUCACGAGAUUGAUAUUGUAAAAAUGAAUGGAGAUAUUAAUAAUGCUCUUGUGCUAAAUAUAACAGUCUCUGUUAGUGGGAGGAGUUUGACAAUAACUUUACAACUUGUAAAAGGUAGUCAUACCAUAAUUAGUGCCAUAGAGUUCUUUGAAAUUGUCAGAGCCCAAAACUUUAAUUGACGAAGGAACUUUUAAAUCAUUUCUUGGAAUUUGAAGCUUUGAAAAGGAUUCUUAUGAAGUAGAAAUUCUUUCUUUAUGUUGUAGUAUAAGCUUUGCAGAAAUUGAAGGGUCCGUUUAAAUUGGAAUGGUGAUCCAUGUGUUCCACAACAACAUCCAUAGAGUGGAAUUAGGUGAUAAAUAAAUCUGGAAUGCAAAGCCGGAAUGGGUGAAAUGCAAUUAGGAAUGGAUAUCAGGAAUAGGGGAUGUGACAUCAAGUACGGUUGUUUAUGGUGUAUUAGAUGCUUAUAUUUGGUGUAUUAGAUUCUUUUUAUGUGAUGGUUGUAAUGCUAUAUAUAGGAUACAUAUAGAGUACGGUUAAAUAGUCGUACUUUGUUAGGCAUGUGUUAGGUGCAAUUUGUGCACCUUUUUGCUCACAUUUUAGUCCCAUUUCAUGCAUCUAUUUAGCAUAAUUGUCCUUCAUUUGUCUUGCAUUUCAUUAUAUUUCAUGUUAGUCUCUAGAACAACCUUAUUUGCACAUUUUCAUGUCUUUUUCAGGUAAACCGGAGGUUGGAGCACGCUUUAGAUAAACCAAUUACAUGCCAGUGUGUAGCCAAUACAUCCGAUAAUCCAGAAAAACCUCUGAGGGCCAAUCAGCAGGAAGCACGAAUCCGAAAACGACAUGAGCCUUCUAAGAACCAACCCGGGAACCCCACUCCGGUAAGAGAGAACUUUUGGAACUUCGACAUGGCGAUCACACCAGUGAUGAUCUCUCCAUAGAGGUACAUUACGUUCUAAGUACUGAAAAGCUCUAUCUUUCCGAGAGCUUAGGACCAUCCGAGAUUCUUUAUAAGAAUUGGUCCAACCCUUGUCAGACCACGACUACUUUCGGAAUUCCAUAAGUUUCACCCCAAAAAAAAUCCACGUCUUAGACUUGAAAAAGUACUUGCCCGACGUAACCCUCGAAGUUCCACUUGUCUUGAUAGAGAUCAUUGGGAACCCUAACUUCGUAGAAAAACCUGUAGGAAAUCGUGAACCGAAAGGUCAAGCAAACAAACCAAACCCGCAUUCCGUUAAUGAAGGGUCGCUAGAUCGCCAAGAGAAGACCUGAGUUCACUUGGGAGCACGAGGACCAGCCGAAUAGGAAGUACCCUCGUCUCUUACUCGAUUGUUCAUGCCUACUUCCUUGCCUAAACUCUAAUUUCAGGACGAAAUUCCCUCUAACGGGGGGAUGAUGUGACAACCCGAAAUUUCCGUUUGUUUUAACUCCGUAAUUAAGCACGUCAAAAAAAAAUUAGCCAAAUUUAUCCUAAAAUAUUUUUGGCCGGAUUUAAGCCCGUUGGAAUAUUUUAAAUAAUAUUCGUCAAGCGAACCAAAAAUAAGAAAGUAAAAUUUAGAGUUGCCGUGUUUAGCGUAAGUCGCGGAACUCCAAAAUUUGGAAUUUACGGACGAAAUUUCGGAGUUUUUGACCGCGAACCCCCGAGAGUAUAAAUAUGACACUUAGUCAUUUUCUCUCAUUUUUCCAACAUCCACCUCAAGAACACCUAAGGAUUCUCUCUCAACUAUCAUAAAUUCAUCCCGUCAAAUCCGCCAAAAUCGAUCAUUCAAGCUUCCUAUGCGUAAGUAUACUUCUCCUAGCUAGUUGUUUGAUUAGAAUCCAUGUCAAAACCUUGAAGAACACCAAGAACAAGGUGUUUACGGUCCAAGGUGUUCUUGGACCGUAAACUCCAAAUAGGGUGUCAAAGUGUGCCUUGGUUCAUUCUAAGCCUUGACAACUAGCAUAGAUCCCUUCCUAGAUGAGUUUAGCAUUCGAAAAUUAUCUUUUCCCCAUGAUCUUAUGAGUUUACGGUUUGGGGAGUUCAUCCCAAAAACCGUAAACACCUCCUAGAGGUGUUUAGAUGCCCCUAAUGCCUUCUAAUGGUUGUGUGAUGGAGUAGAACCUUACUUGCAUGAAUUAGGGACCCCAAGAACAUGUAUUGAAGGGAAAAACAUGAGUUUACGGUUUGGGAAGGUCUCCCAAAACCGUAAACACCUUUUAAGGGUGUUUAAGUGCCCUUAACACCUUCCAAUGCUUAUAUAAAUGACUAGAACCUUGCAUGCAUGACCUAGAACCACAAAAACACAAAAGAAAUGGAAUAACAUGAGUUUAUGAUCGUAAACUCAUGUGUUUACGACUGUAAACUCCCAAGGGAGUGGUCCAAGGACCGCAAAAUCCAUAAAGUGUCCAUUUUGAGCCCCAAUCACUUCCAUAGCCCUUGAAUCAACCCUAGGACCUUUCCUUGUGGGGCAUGAAGCCUUAAAGCACACAAAUACACCCCACCCAUGAGUUUAAGGCCGUAAACUCAUGGGGGAUAUGGCUCCAAAACCAAAAACACCCCUAGGUAUUAGCAUUUGAGGAGUAAACUCCAAAGUGGGACUAUACACUCUUCAUAUGCAACCCUUGGUACUCCUAGCACUUGUAGCAAAGUGUUUUCAUGUAGUAGGACAUCCUUACUUGCUUAAUUAGUUAUUAAAUGACUAAUUAGAUACUUAAAUGUAUCAUUAUAUGUUUAAUAGGAUCCGAGUGUGUGUUCAAGUCCCCACUUGACACCUAGCGUCCUAUACCGCCCAUUCAUCCGAAUCGCCCACGUCAGGUGAGUUCGUACCCCUAAAUUAACCUUUUAAAUGAUUUUAACUGCUUUUAUAGGGGGAAUACAAGUUGAACUGUACAGUUAUUAGAUAAAUCACAUGUGAUUAAUAACUGUAUAGCAAAAUAGAUUUUGCAUGUUAAACUGUUUAUCCAGAUUAAAGGUUUCCAAAUCAUGUUUUCGAAUCUUGUUAAAGUAUGAAUAUCCCUUUUUAGAUCAUUAUAGGUUAUCCAAAGUUUUUCAAAGUUUGUUUACUUAAGAGACAUCCAGUCGUAAUUUCUUAUCAAAGGUUUUCUUCACUUAAACCGUUUUAUACAAAUCAUUUUCAAAGUUGUUUAUGAAAGGUUUUUCAAAGGAUUCCAAAGAUUUUCAAAACUUGUUUUACAAAAUGACAUCAAGUCGUAAAUUUCUUAUGUAUGAAAGUUUUCCAAAGGUUUCAUCAAAGUUUUCCUUCUAUGCUUUUACUUCGUUAAAUGCAUGCCUAUAUUUGUAUAGUUAUAUAAAUAAUGUUUAAAGGACUUAGGAAGGCUAGUUCGCCCUAUUUCCUUUUCCUCGUUGGGAUGUGGUCUGGUGGGUAUCGGUUAUCCGUCCGAAGGUCGUUUAAACAUUAGUUAUAUAUCAUGUAUACAUGUAUAGACAUAAAGGUUUACAUCGACCAGUUCAUUUCCCUUGGGUAGCAAGGGCAUCCUUCCAUUCAUCAUUCAUAGACCAGAAACACUAGUAACUAUUAUAGGAAUAGUUAAGAGAUUCUAUUUACUCUUUCUAGUACGGAGAAUUCCAAAGGAGUCAGUUCAUUUGUGAGUCUAUAUCAUUAUUCCAGUACUUAUAAUAGAAUUCAAAAUACGAGAUGCAUCUUCAGGACACGGAUCUCCCCGUUGUCAAGUUGGUAACCAGAGUCUCCUGGAGGGAGAGCGGGCAUUGUGUGUAUAGAUCUAUACGGGACUGACACUCCCACACCCUGACUGCUAGCUACAGUCCCCGGCCUACCAAGCCAAGGGGUGACAAAUGUCACAUUUAUUCCUAUGCUUGCAGGGCGUCAAGUUCUCUAUUAUCAAUCACUAUGGUUACGAGUAUAUCUAUGUUUACCUUAUAAUUCAUGGCCUUAAGGUAACACGGUAUUUUUGAAACAACCCACUUAGGAUUACCGGAUGUUUUAGACGUUGCUAGCUGUGUCGUUCAUUCGAUACUGUCUGGAGUCUGUAUUUCCUUGUUUUAGACUUUGCUAGCUGUGUCGUUCAUUAGAUACCGUCUGGAGUAUGUGCUUCCUUUUGUUAGACUGAGACAGGUGUAUCAUUCAUUCGAUACUCUCCUGGAGUCUAUGAUUUCUUUUGCCUUAGUCAGCAGUAUUACUGCUGAGGCAUAUGUUAUUUUUCCCCUAGUAUUUUUACUAGUGAUAUUCUCAUAUUUUCUUUAAAGUCAAUACCGUAUUUUGGUAUUGAUAGUAUUUCGGGGAAAAUUACUCCUUAAAACAUAAGUCUGUCGGGUCUUUGUAGAAGACUGCUUUUAUUUAGAAAAUAUAGGAUUUUCUGGAAAGGAUGCUUAUAAACCGUAGAUUCUAAACUACUAUCUUUCAUAAAGUUAUUUUGAAUAGCAAUGCGUACUUAUACAAAUGACACUAAAUACUUAUGGACUCACCAGCAUUAUAAAAAUGUUGAUACCCGCUUUCAAAAUAACUUGUAUUCUCAGGUCAGCGAUAGACAGGUACAUUCCGGGAGCUUUUGUGAAGACAGCCUAGUACCGAGCUGCAUAUAUAUUAUUCCUUGUAUUACUUUGAUGUUGCUAUGAAAUGUAAACUAUGUAAAAAUUAUUACUAUUAAUGCAAUGGUUGUUGUACUUUGAUUACUAUACGGUAUAUGUUGUGAUACUUGACAUGACAUCAUCCACCCCAGAACGUUUCCGCCGUUCCGGUUUUUGGGGUGUGACAAGUUGCCCCGUGAUUCGUGACCAGUGGUUAGGGAUGAGAUUUAGAACCGGAAAACCAGACCGGAACCGGAACCGGACCCGUUAGAAUCGGAAUAUAUAGAACCGGGUCCGGUUCUGGGUUUAAAAAUUGGCUUUAUCCAGGUUCCGGGUAAUCCGAGUUUGGGUCCAUUGGGUCCGGGUAAACCGGGUCUAAAAUCCGGAACCGAUUUUUGGAACCGGAACCACUUUUAGGGCCGGAACCACUUUUUGUGAAACGUUUACAAGAUGCAUAUCUUAUUCGUUUCAACUCCAAUUGACAUACGGUUUUUUCCAACAUGUAGUUUAGAGUUUGUACAUGAUUCUAGACUAUAAAUUUUUCAUUUUUAGUUUUAUAUUCAUUGACUUACAGUCCUCAAAAGUUGAGAUACCAAAGCUGAAAGUUUUUAGUUUUUUAGUUUUUUUGUAUUCGGUGAAAGUUUUAAAGCAUGCAUAUCUAAUUCGUUUGAAGUCGGAUUGACAUGUGGUUUUUUCCAACUUCUAGUUUACAGUUUGUACAUGAGUUUAGACUAUAAUUUUGUCAUUUUUGGUUUAACAUUCAAUGAUUUACAGUCCUCCGAAGUCGGGAUAUCAAAACUGAAAAUUUUCAACUUUUCAGCUAUUUGUUUUUGUACUUUGUAUUAUGUGAAAAUAUUAACACAAGUAUAUCUCAUUCGUUUAAAUUCGGAUUGACAUGCGGGUUUUUCCAGAGUGUAUUUUAGAGUUUGUACAUGAUUUUAGACUCUAAUUUUGUUAAUUGUGGUUUCGUAUUCAAUAAGUUACAGCCCCCAAAGUCGGGAUACCAAUAUGAAAAUUUUCAAAGUUCAGCCCACUAAGUAGUAAGUUAUUACCAAAAAAUUCCGGUUUUUUCGGGUUUUCCGGGUCUAAACCCACUUUAUCUGGUUCCAACCUACCCACUUUGAUGUUUCCGGGUUUUCCGGUUCUAGACCCACUUUACCCGGAACCAUACCCGGAACCGAACCGGAACCGGUUCCUAUAUACCGGUCCGGUUUCCGGUUCUAUAAAAUCCCGUUAACCGGUUCCGGGUUUUCCGGGUCCGGGUCCAUCGGGUCCGGGUUUGGACCCACUUUCAUCCCUANGCGAUUCGUGACCAGUGGUAACCCGUCGAGUGAAAGGUUAACUCGACGAGUCGAGUGAGGAUUUAUGAGGAUUAAGAGGACACGCAUGGACUCGCCGAGUCAUACGAGUGCACUGGACGAGUUUGGUCAAAGUUUGACCGUUGACUAGAGUUGACUUCAGUUGACCUUAGGGUUUUGGUCAAGCUAGUUCAAGAGAGGUCAGGAAGGGGUAGAAUGGUCUUCUACCCAUUCUUUAGAAAUGAGGACAAGAGAAAGUAUUGAUUAGAGAUGCUAUUAUGCUGAUAAGAGGAGGCUAGGUUUGGUUAUCGAACACGAGAGGUUAUCUGACAUCGUACAAGGUGAGUCUUCUCACUAUACUUUACCUAGAGUGGUAAUUAUGUGACUGGAAGGUCUUAUGUGUUAUGAUGAGUAUGUGAUGCAUGUUGUUAUAUGAUAUGUAUGUGUUAUGUUAUGUUAUGAGUAUUAUGAUAUGGACUGGAAAGUCAACAGUGUAUGGGCCGGAAGGUCAAGAUGAUACGGACCAGAAGGUCAGAGAAGUGGGAUCGGAAGGUCUACCAGGACUAUGGGACGGAAGUCCCCUGAGACACAUUGACCGGAAGGUCUUGUAGAGUUGUAUCCUUAAGUGGCGUAUAUACUGUAUGUGGUAUUUUGGGGAACUCACUAAGCAUUUAUGCUUACCAUUUAUGUGAUAUGUGUUUCAGGUACCAACGAGGAUCGUGGGAAGGCGCCGGCAUGAUCUGUACACAUUGAUGGAGUUAUAUGUAUUUGAGAUCUUGGGAUUGUUUUAUUUGGAGGACAUGUGUCACAUUGGAUUUGAUAUUUCUUAUGAAUGAAAUUAUAUUUUAAAAAUGAAAAAAAAAAAAUUGUUUUGGAAAUUCACGUUGUUACAUCUCUACUGUUUGUUUUUGUUACGCACUUGGUCCCUAAUGUUUGUUUUUGUUACGCGCCUGGUCCCGAUCUUACCUAAAAAUAAUAUUAUUUAAACAAAAAAAUGGUGAGAUAGGUAAGGUAAGGUGAGAGAGGUGGGUUGGGGUGUAUCUAUUUAAAUAAAUUAAAAAAUUAAGGAAAAAAUAGUCUUUUUAGGUAAGACAGCGACCAAGCGCGUAACAAAAACAGAUAAUAGGGACCUUCCGAGUUAAAAAAAUAAGUUAAAGACCAAACACGCAAAUUACCCCAAACCAUAAAGAUCAUUCGUGUAACAAAAUAACUAUGAAAAAUCAAUAGGUUGACAAGUGGCAUGACAUUAAUUAGGAGAUCUAAUAUGGUGACACAUAGCAAAAUAACUAUUUCAUUAUUAGUAUAUAGAGAUUUUGUUCCAAUAAAAUAGUACAAAACAAGAUUUCGAUGAGUACAAAAUAUAUCAAGAUAAAGAUAUGAAUCACAAAUCACAAACAAUCUAAAAUGGUAGUUGAUUUUUCCGAUGAAUGAUUUAAUACUUCAAAGGAAUAAUUAAUGUAUGAACUUAAUAUAUGGAUAAUUAAUAUAGGAGCUAAUAAUAUAAGAUCUUAUAUAUUUUUACGUAAAUAAUAAUCCUUAACCUAAAUACCAGUUUUUUUUUUCAAAAUAAAAUCAUACAUCAACUCGGAAAUCCAUAUACGUACGACGAUCUUCUCCAGCCCGCUAUUUCCGUUCAUCUUCAAUUGGUAAGAUUCAAAAUCACUAUUAUUAGUCAUAAAAAGAAAAUUACAAAUAUCAAAAUAAUAUGUCAAUAGUUAAUUAAUAUCUCAUUGAUUUAGUUAGAAAUUUUGUUAGGUCUUUAAAUCACAUAAAAAAGAAUAAGGGCCUGUUUGAUAAGUCUUCUAAUUGGGUACAAAAUUAGGACCCGAUACUUAAUCCCCAAUUAGCUUGUUUGUUUUGUCUUUAGCAUCCUUGGACUCGGUCCAACUCAGGGACUCGGUCCCUAAUUUUAUGCUGAUUCGGUCCUCCAACAAAAAGAAGCCGACUCGAUCCUUUUUUUUUCUUUCACGUAUUUUCCCUUCAUCUUUGUUACUCCUGUACGCCUUUGCUUCUUCCUGAAGGUCAUCUUCGAAUGAUUGUGGUCGUAGUUGUGGCCUCCUCUUAUCGAAAUUAAGGGAGACUUUGACUUAAUUUUCGCUAGUAGACAACAACCACAAGAACGGAUCUCGGCUUCGGAAGAUGACAUCGAUUGGGUGAAGACCCAGGUCGAAGUGAAUGGACUGCAUAUGCAGGAUAAUGUAUAUUAACAAUCUGUAUAGAACAAUUUCAGAAAACUAUAUGAAAACUACUAGAAGAACAUAUUUUUUGAUCGGUGGGUUCAUAAAAAUGCAAAUUUGAAAAGAUCUGGAAGAUGAAGAAGGGAUUAGAUUUAAGAAAAGUGAAUAUUACCUUCGGAUUGGAAGAUGAAUUGUGAAGCAAAGAAUGUGAAAGCUGGAAUUAUGGAAGGAAGAGUAGUGAAGGAGCUGCCAAAACCUUACGCCUAAACAAGAAGAUGAGACACUCUAAAGAAGGGAAAAUUGGGUAUGUUUAUGUUAGAGCAAGAAAAAGUGAAGCAACAGAUAACAAUAGUCUUGCUAAAAGGGUACUUUCUAUAUUCUUGAAUUUCCAUUUUUACCCUUCAUCCACUUUAUUCCAAAAUGUAGUAUGAAUUAUAUUAUAUGUACAACAACACUACUUCAUCGUGUUAAAAUAGCAAAAUACAUAUUGUCAAAUAUUAUUAUUUUAUUUAUAAUAUUAUUUUUAUAUUUUAAUAACUUAUAUUUGUAGAUGACAAAAUAUAAUAAUUAAUAACUAUAGGUGUAAGUGAGUCGAGCAAUUCGUAUGUGGUUAUAAGGGUAAUAUCGUCAUUUUUUUAUCAUUCAUCAUAGUCGGUCAGAAAAAUAAUCAAACAACAUAAACUCAGUCAGAUGUGGACUCGGUCAGAACUUCUAACUCAGUCUGCUUCUAACUCAGUCAACUCUAAUUCAGUUAGCAACUAUCAAACGACCCCUAAGAAAAGUUACAGUGACCACAUGUGCUUUUAGUUUGAAUAAUUACAUGUUUUUCGGAUGUUAGUUUCAAAUCACGUAAGAAGUAAACAUAUAUUAAGUUUUGAAUAUGAUUGUUUUUCUUGAACCACAUAUAAUUUAUAUGAUUGUUUUUGAAUAAUUACAUGAUUGUUUUUCUUGAACCACAUAUAACUUAUAUGUGGUUCAAAAAUAAUUUAAUUAGCCACUUUUUAGAUUUCCUUCUUUUUUAUUCGUAUUCAAUUACCGAUUUCCUCAAAUACUGAAUAUCAAUCUGAUUAUUCUUUCUUCAUUUUUAAUCGUAAUUCGUUAAUCUUUAUCUCGUUUGAAUCGGAUAUAUCGGAAUUCAUUAUCAAGAUUCUUUCUUUAUAUAAUUCGUUAGCAAUUACACAUAUUUGUUCAAUUUGCGUCGUUUUAUGCAUUUAUCGAGAAGUUUUACAUCUGUAUUGCAAUUGUUUAAUCAAAUAUUUGUUGUGAAGUUUGAGAUAUGUAUUGCAAUUGCAUCAUCUGAUCGGAGCUGGUUUAAUUUCCAAGCAGAUCGUUUUUACGCUCUGAAGUGAGACAAAUUCGAAAUUGAUCAAGGUUUCAUAUGAUCUAUAUUGCAAUUACAACAUCUGAUCGAAGUUGAUUUAAUUUUCAAGCAGAUCGUUUUUUGGGUUUUUUGUUUUAAUUUUGGUGUCGUUCAGUUUAUAUUUUAUUUUAUCAUGAUUUUCAUCGAUAUUAAGAUUGUUUUUGUUGUUUAUUACAAUUUAAUUGGUUUAUCAUGUCAAAUUCGAGUGUUAUUGAUGGUGAAUUGUAUUCUUCCAUGUAUGAGAGUGAAAAAGAAGAUGUUGAUUACUCAUUUAUUGAAGACAUCACUAAUUAAAUUCUUAUCUUGUUUUUAAUUUUGUUGAUGAUCAUGUAUUUACAUAUGAAUCUAUAAAUCUGAAUAAAUUAUUUUCUUAUUUGUAUAUGAAUAAACGUGUGAUAAUUGUAAUUUUGAAUUUAUUAUUAAUUUUGUUUUAUUCAUAUAUGAAUAAGUACUGUUUUUAUUUUAUAUUUUUUUGAAUCAUAUGAAUUUCAUGUAUUCAUAUAUGAUUGUUUUAUCCAUACAUUCAUAAACAUUAUUUUUUGGUUUAUUCAUAUGUGAAUAAAGUGUGUCUUUGUGUUUAUUAUUGAUUAUAAUAAAGUGUCACUAGAUUGACUUAGAUUUUAUAAUUAUUUAUUAGUUAAAUCUCCGAGUUCAGUAGAUGAUUGUAGUAAUGUAAUUGGAGAACAUGUCUAUAAGUCAAAUGUACCUAUUUAAUUUAUUCCAUUUGAAUGUUUAAUCUUCAAAUCAUUAAAUUGGUCAUCAAAAUGUAUUCUGAAUAUGCUGAAACUGGUGGUUUUGAUAUGUGACUGAGCACACGGAUAAUGUUUGAUAACAAGAUUAUAAAGAAAAAACAUGUUAUAUGUAAUCGUGGUGGCAAACAGAAAAAGAAAUCUUGUGACACAUUGGGUACAAGUGGUGUUAGGAGGAAACGAAAUUCAAAUUCAAGAAUUAUUGGUUGUCAAGCAAAGAUUAUAUUUAAAUUUGUGUAUGGAACUCCAGAUUAUAAAGUUUUUCAGUUUGAUAAACUUCACAACCAUCCACUUGAGAUGAGAAGUGAUUUAAAAAAAAAAAAAUGAGACAAAGGUUAUAUUCAGAAAAAGAGUUUAUAGUGUGUUUCCACAUCAAAAAUAGGCUCAAAUAUGGCUCAUAAGUUGAAGGCAAGUCUUAGAGGUAACUAUGAGUUUGUAAAGCCUGACUCAAAUAUUCGAUUAAAUUAAAAUUAUAAAAAUAAAAUUUUAUGAUUCAGUUGAAUAAAUCAAAAAUCAGAAUACACGAAAGAAAAAUGUCAACAACAAUGUAAACUUAUAAUUAUAAAAUAAAAUACAAAAAAAAUGAAUUAUAAAUAAAAUGAUUAAAUAAUAAAAAUAAGAGUAAAUUACACGAAUGGUCCCUAUGGUUUGGGGUAAUUUGUACGUUCGGUCCCUAACUUAUUUUUUUAAGUCGGAAGGUUUCUACUGUUUGCUUUUGUUACACGUUUGGUCCAUAUUAUUUGUUUUUGUUACACACUUGGUCCUUGUAUUGCCUAAAAAAACUAUUAUUUAAAUAUGGAAAAAUGAUGGGAUGAGUAAGGUAAGAUGAGGGUAGCAAGGUUGAGGGUGUUUAUUUAAAUAAAUUAAAAAAUCAAGGGCAAAGUAGUACUUUUAGGUAAGAUAGAGACCAAAUGCGUAACAAAAUCAAAUGAUAGGGAUCUUCCGAGUUAAAAAAUAAGUUAGGGACCAAACGCACAAAUUACACUAACCCAUAGAGACCAUUCGUGUAAUUUACUAUAAAAAUAAACUCGGUAGUGGACUAUUAUGAUAAUUGGGCCUUAAUGGUAUUUAUUUAAUGAAUGGUGCUUGUGUGAUGCAUGGCUUCAAUUUGAGGACUAUUUGAGGAAUAUAAGAUGGAAUAGCGUAAUACAAGAAAAAAUACUAAUAGUCCCAUUCAUAACGCCUGGAUUCGAUCAUGGUACGCAAGUAUGGAGUGAAAAAUGCUUUAACCAUCUCGCCUCUUAUCAAGAUGGGCCCAGUGUGGUCGCACACCCAACACAUACUUAGGGCCGACCCUGAAAUUAUUUAUUGGAGUUUAAUUGUCAAUAUGAUGUUUUGGACUCUAUAUUUUGGGCCGAUGAAAUGGAGAAAACAUAUUACGUUGAAUUUGGUGAUGUUAUCUCAUUUGAUGCGAUUUUCCGAACAAACAAAUAAGUUAUUUUAUCUAGUUUUUUAUAGCUUAUUUAUAUAUGAAUAUUUUAACUUUAUGUUUAAUGUCCAGUUUUGAAUAUUGAAAUUAUUUUAAUAUAAUUUUAUAUUUAUGUUUUAUUAUUAUUAUUAUUAUUAUUAUAACUCUAUUCAUGCAUGAAUAGUUUUAUAUUCACUUAUGAAUACAUCAAAAAUUGACUUUAAUAAACAUUUUUUUUAAUGUUAUAGGUAUGGAAUGAUUUUUGUUUCAUUUACUGCUAUUGACCAUCAUAAAAAGUCAAUUACUGUUGGAGCGGGGUUGCUAAGAAAUAAAAACAUUGAGUCUUACUAUUGGUUACUUAAAACGUUUCUUAAAAUUCAUAGGAAAAAACCAACACUAGUUUUAAACGAUCAAGAUAUGACAAUAAAACAAGUUAUUAAGAAUGUGUUUCUUAAUUCAAAGCACAUAUUAUGUAUGUAAUCUAAGAAACCUGGUUUCUAGAUUCAAUUUCGAUGGUUUCCCUAUUUAAAAUGCAAAAUGUUACUUUAAUGACAUAUUGCCUUAAAAAUUAAUGAUCAAUUCGGAAUAAACACCAAAUUUGGUUGUGUUACAGUAUCAAUUUUCAUUUAUAACAUUACUAUAAACAAUUUUCAAUAUUUAUUUUAAAAUCAUCUUUAAAUUCGCAAACUAUUAAAAUUUUCGUUCUUAAUUGUAUUUAUUUAGCUAUAUGAGGUUGUUCUCAAAAAGUCAAAAUUGGUGUUGUCCUAAAUGAUUGAGGUCGUUUGAAAUUAUUAAUAUCAAAUAAUGUAUCUAUUGAGUUUUUUUAUUUGUAAUUUGGUGAUAAAGUCAAAACGUUUAUUGAUAAAAUAAAGUCAUAAAAAUUGAUGAAUAUCAAAUACUUUAAACUAUAAUACCUGAUAAAUUUGACUCGAUUAUUCUUUAUUUUUCCUAUACAACAUUUAAUGGUGACCCGUAAAUGUUGUUGACUAGUAAAACAUUAUGAAAUGAUUACAUAGCGAACCAAAGAGUUGUUCCUGAUUUUAUUAUCACAUACCUCAACUAUAUUAUAUAGUUGCGUAUUUUUUUUGUUCAAAUAAAGAUGGUGAAAAUGAUUUAUAUGGCUUCACAUAAAAAUUUCUAAUCUACAAAAUUGUAUAUAAAACGUUCUUUUAGUACAAACUAAAAUAAAAUUCUCUCUUUUUUACAUAAAAUGUCCCAAUCUAAAGAGCAAAUUCAGAGCGUGUUCGAUUGACCACGAGUGAGACACCGAGGCGCGUUUGGAUCUGUGAUCAGUCAUUAUUGUUCAUCUGGUCUUCCAUUGGUCUAUUCGACCUUAACAACCACUUGCUUUUGGCUCACCGAAGCUUCAAAAUACUCACUGUUUUUUCUGUUUCGAUUAAGUUCCCUGAUUUUCCUUUCCUCACUCUCUCGCUAAACUGAUCAACUAUCUGCAAUGGUGGAAAGCUACCUAGGCGACGAGUUUCAUCUUCCGCCUAAGAAUCCGUCGGAUGAAGCACUGAAGAACUGGCGCAAAGCCUGCUACCUCGUCAAGAACCGUAGCCGAAGAUUCCGGCAUGUCGCAGACCUCCCUAAGCGGUCUAUUCAUCGGGAUAGGAUUUCCAAAAUCAAGGUUCCAUUACUCUCCUUUAACCUUCCAACCUAGCUAAUUACUAUUUUGUCGAUUGAAUGAUUUCAGAUCUGUGUGUUUUAAUGUAUAUAUGCUGUGUGUGAACAAAGUAAAUCACUGAAAUCAUCUGGUAAAUACAACAGUCGAAACGAUUAUUCGAUUAUAAGUUAUAACCAUCGACAUUAAAAACUACUGAUUCCUGAUUGGAGAGUUAUGAAAAUGCUGGAUUCUUUUUCCUUUAUCUAUCGUUCUUAGUUUUCCGAGCAUACAUAUCACUGUUCUUCAUUAUACCCAAAAUCUAUUGAAAUGAACAAAUUUAGUUAUUAAUUUAUUAUGUGUCUAUGGUAAUUUGUUUGUAAUACAAAAGGUGGGAUCUGAUCCUGUAGAUUAUCAAAAGAAAAUGCCUUCACAUUUAGACAACUUUUAGUUUGAAACACCAUACUUGUUUUUAUUGACUUCUGACAUUGUUUUUGAUGAUGAUGAGACAUUCAUGAUAAUUAUCUUUAUCUUUGCGUUAUAGUGUUAUUUAUGUGGUAUAGAGACUAUUGAGGGAUCACGAUCAUACAACAUUAUGAUAAGUAAAUUCUAUAUGAAAUAUAAUAAAAUGAUAACAGUGAAGAUGCUGUGUUUGCGGGGUCGGAGAAAUAACAAAAUUGGCAAAUAUCUAUAUAUAGUAUAUUAUUUUAAGGUUUUUCCUUAUCGUGACCACUCGGCUCAUGUUAGCGAAACCUGUAAUUCCCACUCGUUAUUGUAACUUUUUCCCAAAGAACCUUAUUUCUUCAGUAUUUUAAGAAGAAAAAAUAAAUAUAGCCCAAACAUGACUUUUUGUUCGGAAAGUAACCUUUCUAUUAUAAUUUUUUAUUGGGUAAAGAAUCAUAUUCGUGAAGUUUAUCAGAUGCGUCUUUCAUAAUUCCGUUAAAUUUAUAGAAUUGAUAAUCGUUAUCUUUUUUCUUUAAAAUAUUAAGCCUUGAUUUAUAUUUUAGAGGCUGUUAUAACUACCUUGGUUGUUUGGUGGAGACAACUUGUUGAGCCUAACCAACAUCAACAUAUAGAUGCUUUUCAUAAAUUUGGUCAAGCACUUAAAGUCCAUGGUAAAAUGUAUUUAAAUUCUUCGAAAGAGAAAAUGUUUAUAUUAAACUUAAGGUAAACUUUCAAAUAAUAUAAUGAUUCUAACUUUAUCUAUUUUUUAUUUUCUUAACAUAAUGUUUCUAUCAGGUGAUAAAAUUUUCAAGAUCCCUUUAUCCAGAAUAGAAGUUAUUUAGGAAAUUUAACUAGUAUUUCAGAAAAGAACCUUCAGACUUGUGACAGCUUCCUCGAAAUUUCUCUCCAUUUUUCAGACUUUUGAGCUCCACUAAUUAAAAUCUCCAAUCAUCGAUUGCUUUGCCACAUUAUAUCUCCACUAUAACUUUAUCAUACCAAAUAUUAUUAACUUAAAUCAUCUCAAUCAUUGUCAUUUUUGAAAAUUUUUACAAAAUUAACCAAAAUUAUUUUAUAAAUCCUCUUAUCUAAUUUUAUCGGCAUCCAACCUAUGGACAAAAGACAAGAAAAUGGUUAAAAAGGUUGUAAGUUACUCAAUACAUAGUUUUGAGCAUACGAUGAUUUACGUAAUUUAGUCUAAUACAAAAUUAACAAACGAAGAUACAUAAAUAGUAAAUACUGAUCGGUUCUGGUGACUUCAUGGAACAAAUUCAUGAUAAAUUUUGGAAUUACAAAAUAUCCUCAUGCCUUUAAUAAAUCAUUUUAAAUUGGGUAAAUGACACAAAAAAACACUCUUUUUAUACAGAAAUUCGAUUUUGAUACCGUUUUUUUUUUGUCAAUUUUGACACUGUGUUUUUCAAUUUGUUACAAUUCUGACCACUUGACCGGUUAAUCAGGUUACAUGCUGAUGUGGCAUGAUGACGUGUCAGUUUUGAUGACGUGGCAUGCUGACGUGUCAAAAUUGAUUUUUUUUUUACAAAAAACAUUAAGUUUUCAUUUUUUCGAUUUUGACACUAAGUUUAAUAUUUUCUUUCAACUUUGACUCUAUGUUUUUUUGUUUCAAAUCGAACAUUAUUUUUUUCAAUUUUGUUCAAUGUUGACAAUUUUUUAUUUGAAACCGUAUAAAUAUUUUUUUAAUACAUUUAAACCGUAUAAAUAUGUUUUUUUUCAUUUAAAAACCAUAGUUUUGUAAAAAUAUAUUUUUUUUACACUCAAACCAUAUUUUUAUGUAUAAAUAUGAAUUAGUUAUAUAAAAAUUGUAGUUUAUAUUAAAUAUGCAACUUUAAAAUGUGGUUUUUAAACGAAAAAAAUAUGCUUAUACGGUUAAAAUGUAAUAAAAAAAUAUAUUUAUACGGUUUCAAAUGAAAAAUAGACAAAAUUGAACAAAAUUUGAUAAAUGAUGCUCGAUUGGAACAAAAAAACAUACUGUCAAAAUUGAAAUAAAAAAUUAAACUUAGUGUCAAAAUCGAAAAAAAAUGAAAACUUAGUGUUUGAUGUGGGAAAAAAAAUCAAUUUUGAUACGUCAGCAUAUCAUGUCAGCAUGCCACGUCAUCAAAACUACCACGUCAGCAUGUAACCUGGUUAAUCGUUCAAGUUGUAAGAAUUGUAACAAAAUUGAAACACAGUGUCAAAAUUAACAUAAAAAAAACACGGUGUCAAAAUCGAAUUUAUGUGUAAAAAGAGUGUUUUUUUGUGUCAUUUAGCCUUUUAAAUUGGGUAAGUUAUGAAGUGGCUUAUUUUUUGCACACAUGUUCAGUUCUAUUAAGAAUUUUGAAGAGUGCACUUUCAGUCUUCAUCUUCUCCCGAUCUCUCACUUUAGUUUCACCAAGUUCUCCCUUUGUAUGCAAUGUUCAUACUUGCAAAGAUUAAUUGGAACUUUAUUUAUUUAUUAAUCUUAACUACCCAAACCACCUCAUGACUAUAGUUACAUUCAUAUGAUAAAAAGCUAAUAAUGUUCUCUCUUUUGUCUUCAACGUUCCCAGGAAAACCUGCGGGUUAGCUUUUACACUGUGAGAGCAGCAUUGCGAUUUAUGGAUGGUAUGCUACUGCUCCUUGCGAUAAUUGAAAUGCUGCAUGAAAUCAAUCAACCGUUUCUUUCUAAUUAACCAUCGGAGUUCUGUUAUGUCUUUAUCCAUUAUACAUUCAUUAAUAACAAAUUAAUACCACCUUAUUACAAAUUUGCAAUCCUGUCUCAACAGGCGCUCCUCAUUUAGAAAAUCAUCAAACACCAGAUGCAAAAGCCUCCGACAUCCGUAAUAAUCCAGAUAACCUCGCAUCCAUGGUUCAAAACUAUAGCAUCAAAACGUUACGAUCGCUGGGUGGAGUUGAUGGAGUCGCUAAAGCCAUAGACGUAUCUAUAGAUGAAGGCGUCAAAUCCACGGAUUUAUCCAUUAGACAAGACACUUACGGCGUCAACAAAUACACAGAAAAGCCUUCGAAAAGCUUUUUUAUGUUCGUCUGGGAGGCUCUUCAUGAUCUAACUCUCAUCAUCCUUAUAGUCUGUGCAGUUGUUUCCAUAGGUGUAGGCCUCGCCACGGAAGGCUUUCCAGAUGGAAUAUACGAUGGAUUGGGAAUCCUUCUUAGUAUUUUACUAGUAGUUACCGUUACUGCCGUUAGCGACUACAGACAAUCCUUACAAUUCAAGGAUUUAGACAAGGAAAAGAAGAAGAUUUCAUGUCACGUAACCAGAGAUGGAUACCGGAAAAAGGUGUCGAUUUACGAUUUGGUUGUCGGAGACGUCGUCCAUUUAUCAAUCGGCGAUCAAGUUCCGGCCGAUGGAAUAUUCAUAUCUGGAUACAGUUUGUUGAUCGACGAAUCUAGUUUGACCGGAGAGAGCCGUGCAGUCAACGUAGACGAGACUAAACCGUUUCUUCUCGGUGGGACCAAAGUCCAAGACGGCUCAGCCAAGAUGCUUAUAGCCGCCGUCGGGAUGAGAACCGAAUGGGGAAAAUUAAUGGAAACUUUAAGCGAAGAGGGAGAAACCGAAACCCCACUUCAAGUCAAAUUAAACGGCGUCGCUACAAUCAUCGGUAAAAUCGGUUUGAUCUUCGCAGUGUUGACUUUUCUUGUCUUGACUAUCCGGUUCUUAAUAGAAAAAGCAUUGCGACAAGAGUUUUCAAGCUGGAAUUCGAGUGACGCAUUAACUAUGUUAGACUAUUUUGCCACUGCAGUAACCAUUAUCGUUGUUGCUGUCCCGGAAGGACUGCCAUUAGCCGUGACUUUAAGUCUCGCGUUUGCUAUGAAAAAAUUGAUGAACGACAAGGCACUCGUGAGACAUCUAUCUGCAUGUGAAACAAUGGGUUCUUCCACUAACAUAUGCACCGAUAAAACCGGGACAUUAACCACGAAUCAUAUGGUCGUCGACAAAAUAUACGUAUCCGGUAAGACAAAAGACGUAAACGACCCUCCGGAACUCCCUGAAAACGUGUUGACCAUUCUGUUACAGUGUAUAUUCGAAUGUACAUGUUCCGAAGUGGUCAAGGGUACCGAUGGAAAAACUUCAAUUCUAGGCACUCCUACCGAAUCCGCGAUAUUGGAAUAUGGAUUACAUUUAGGUGGUGAUUUUGGGACAGUUCGUAGCGAGAUUAAGCUACUAAAAAUGGAGCCGUUUAAUUCUUCCAAAAAGAGAAUGUCGGUCAUUACGAAACUGCCUGGCGGGCAGAUACGCGCCUUUAUCAAAGGCGCGUCUGAAAUAGUAUUAGGAAUGUGUGACAAGUUAUUGGAUGGAAGUGGAGAAAGUGUUGUAAUGUCGGAAGAGAAAGUGAGAUUUAUUACGAGUGUUAUAAAUGGAUUUGCCAGUAAUGCUUUGAGGACUCUUUGUUUGGCUUAUGUUGAUGUGGAAGGGGAAGGUGAGUUUGAUAUGAAAAAAGAGUUGCCAAAUUGUGGGUAUACGCUGAUUGCGGUUGUUGGUAUUAAGGAUCCGCUUAGGCCAGGGGUUAAGGAAGCAGUGGAGACUUGUUUAGCAGCUGGGAUUACUGUUCGUAUGGUUACGGGUGAUAAUAUUAACACGGCUCGAGCCAUUGCCAGGGAAUGUGGUAUACUGACUGAUGGUGGGUUAGCCAUUGAAGGGCCAGUGUUUCGAGCUAAAUCAGAUGAAGAAAAGCGUAAACUAGCACCGAGCAUUCAGGUACAAACAAAAAAACGUGGUAAUGGCUAGAUCAAAUGUAACUAUUUUUUUUUUUUUUUCUUUUCCUGUAUUUUGAAACUCAGGAGAAUAGGUCGUUAGUUCUCCAAGACAAGUAAUGACUCACAAUCCUUAAAUACAUUACAGGUAAUGGCUAGAUCAUCACCAACAGACAAGUUAAAGCUUGUAGAGCAUUUGAGGGGUCUGUCUGAAGUUGUUGCAGUCACGGGUGAUGGGACAAAUGAUGCUCCAGCUUUACAUGAAUCAGAUAUCGGAUUCGCCAUGGGUAUAGCAGGAACAGAGGUUGGUUUGUGCCUCAUAUUCAUGUCAAUUUAAUAUUAAAAACUUAAGUUAAUGAAAAAACAAUCCCAUAUUAUAUAAUAUAUUGGUAAGAAGAAGCUGAUGUCUGUCAUAAGUCAUCCUGCCAUCUCAUCUGUAGGUUGCAAAAGAACAAGCUGAUGUAAUCGUGUUGGAUGAUGAUUUUGCAACAAUCGUAAAAGUAGCAAAAUGGGGACGUGCAGUUUACAUAAACAUUCAGAAGUUUGUUCAGUUUCAGUUAACUGUCAACAUCGUUGCUCUAAUGAUUAAUUUUGUUUCAGCCUGCAUUACAGGUUUGUUCAAUCGUAUUCUUUAUUAGUCUUUCUUUGCUUUUCCACAUAUUUUUAACUUACAUAAUUACAUUGGUUUGAAUAUUUUUCAGGGUCUGCACCCCUUACUGCUGUACAGUUGCUAUGGGUGAACCUGAUCAUGGACACUUUAGGUGCGUUGGCUCUAGCCACCGAACCACCAAAUGAUGGACUCAUGAACAGACCACCUGUUAAACGAACCGAAAGUUUUAUUACAAAGACCAUGUGGCGCAAUAUUAUUGGCCAAAGUGUUUACCAAAUGGCUGUCCUAUUCGUCUUGAAUUUCGCUGGAAAAUCCAUUCUCAAUUUGGACUCAACUGAAAUCCUCAAUACUUUCAUCUUCAACACCUUCGUCUUCUGUCAGGUACAAUUUAUCUUUUUUUUGAAAAUUGCAACGUACUUUUUCAUUUACUUGUGUUGUGCAUUUUAACAGUUUUUUGGAUAAUUGUGUAUGUGUAGGUCUUUAAUGAAGUAAACAGCCGGGACAUUCAUAAGAUAAAUGUGUUUCGUGGCAUGUUGAGCAGUUGGAUUUUCGUUGGUGUCAUGGUGUCUACUGUUGUUUUUCAGGUUAUUAUUGUUGAGUUCCUUGGCACUUUUGCAAGCACUGUGCCACUAGACUGGGAACUCUGGGCACUUAGCAUUGCAAUUGGGUUCUUGAGCAUGCCAAUUGCCAUUGUUUUGAAGUGCAUUCCUGUUGAGAAGUCACCCGUGAAACACCCCAAACACCCUGAUGGUUACGUUAUCAUCCCUGGUGGCCCAGAAGGUGUUUGAUGAAUUGCCAAAAAGAACAUAAACAAACCCAACUUCAGGUUUAUGAAGCAUUUAUAAUUACAAGGGUACUUCUCAACUGUUUUUUUUUUUUUUUCGGUGGUUAGACAAACAACCCUAACAAUAGCUCAAAGCUUCCAUAACUCAACAAUUUUGAUGCACCCGUAUGUACCAUUUGGAAUUUCGAAUUUCGUAUCAUCUAAGUCAUGCAAAAUCCUAAGCAUAAUCAUCUCUAAACGGUAACAAUUAUACAACACAUAUCAACUUCACUAUUUAGUAUUCACUCCCCCACAAAAUGAAGACCACGAUUGGCAUCUAACGCAAUUAUAUAUAAGAAUGGGGACACUAUAAUUGGUAUCUAACUCUUCCCAAUAAUAAAUGGAGCUAGAUCAAAUUUUCUCAUAAGCUCUACUAUACUGACUAAAUUGCAAACAUCGUUUUCAUUUGUAUCUCCUUUUGGCUUCUCCAUAAGCAAUCACACCCAUAACAGUCAAGGAGUAGCCAGCUAUACCUAAAGGGGUAACCGGAUUACGGAAAAUGAGUAUUGAGAUAACAACCGCUACAGCACCUUUAGCAUUCCCUAAUACCUGACCAUACCAUAUACAAAUACUUCAACUUAAUUUGCAGUAUUAAAAAAAAAAAUCAUGGCUAAAUUCGCAAGCUUGAUCCAUGAAUAUGGAAUGUACUAAGUUUGAACUCAGAAGUCAAAAUAGUGAGCAAGAAGAAACAAGCAACCUGAAGAGUUAGUGCACUUGUGUGCUUGGUGACCAAGAAAUUGGUCAAGUUAGCAGCAUAAGCCAUGGUUGAAUUCACAGAAAGCAGUAACCACAUGAAUCUAUGCUUUAACCCGAGAGCAAUGGUGGCAUCUAACACAUCUGGUUCCAUUAAAAGUGCUGUUGGCAAUAAAAACACAACAGCCAUUGGGGACAUAUAAAGCAAAAGGUUCAUUGAAUUUAACUUCUCCCUGCAACAAUAAAAUCAUUAAAUGUACAUUCACAUACUUGGCUCCAUUGACAUACUCCAAGUCAAAAACAAAUUUACAUAUACACCCUUAGCAGAAAGUAGAAGUUAGUUCAUUUACCCCUCUGAAGAAAGUAGGAUACCCUGAAGAACAGACUUGAAGGCCCUAGCAGCAGUUGCACUUAUGCACAUGAUAAAUCCAUACAGCUGAAAACUUGGUUCACCCUGUAAUAACAAACAAUUUGACUUAUUAUUUUUGCCUCGCUUAAACAAAAUCUCAACAUUACUCUCCAUGGGAAUGCGUAAUUUGUUGUUUCUUUUUUUACUUACUACAGUAAUGUAGAUAAAGUAUAAGUUGUUCUACAUUGAAGCUUUUAUAUAGUAUGUUGAUUAAGAUGCCAAUUGCAUUAGAGGAUUGGGUUGACAUGUUUUUCAAUAAAAAGAUGAAAAUGGGCCUUAAUGAAAAGUUACAAACAAUAAAUAAUAAUAAUACUAAAAAAAUAAAUAAAUAAAUAAAAUAAAAAUAAAAAUAAAAAAAUAAAAAAAUAAAACUAUAUGGCUUCAAUGUAGAUGUCAAAGAAAAUGUAAACACAUCCCUGGCCACCCCAACGACUAAAACAUAGGGAAUACAACAACAAAACGUAUAAAAGGGAAACAUAUACAGACAAUAAAGCAUAAAGCAGGUAUACAGAUAUUAUGUAAAGAAAUUGUAAAGCAUGUAUAUACAUAGGGAAUACAACGAAACAGGAGAUAUUAUGUAAAGAAAUUGUAAAACAUGUAUAUACAUAGGGAAUACAAAGAAACAUAGGAAAUACAACGACAAGACCCAUAAAGCCUAAGCAGAUACAAACAAUAAAAACAUAAAGCAAUUAUACAAACAUUUUAUAAAAAAGUGUAAAACACAUCAAUGGCCACCCGACAACCGAAACAUUGGGAAUACAACGAAAAAAACUAAAAAAGGGAAACAUAUAGACACAAUAAAACAUAAAGCAUGUGUAAAGACAUCAAAGCAUAAAUGCUUACAUUGUCCUUUAUAUGUUUUUACAUUGAUGCUUUUAUUGUUUAGCUCAAAAAGUUUCCAUAAUAAACGUCUCCAUAUAGAUUAAUCAAGUUAUGGACUUCUUUAUAUUAACAUGGCAAAUUGGCAAAUACUUUAUGAACUUCAAAUUCAAUAACGAAUUCAGUUGACUAUUAAAAGUCAAGAUUGGCAAUCUGUAAUGGCAUAUAUGGUAAGAUUAAAACCCAGAUCAUAAACCACUAAAAUAAAUCUUAUCUUAAUUCUGUCAUUUUAAUAAAAUAAGACGUGAACAUGAUACAUACCCCGCUUGCAAUCACAACGCCAGUAACAACAGGAACAAGAGCACCAUAAGUAAUCCAUGCUUCUCUUUUGAAGGUCAUCAUAUAGGCAAACAGGGCGGUGAAAAACGGCGUCGUUGCACCGAUGGCUUGAUUGAAGGAAACCGGAAGAAAUCUGAGAGAAAUAUUCCCUCCGACAACCGACCCACAAAAAACAACACUCAGGGUCGCAAUCCUUAAAAACUGCGACCUAGAUUUGAUCUUCUGAAAUGGCACAACUUUGAGGAACACAAUGGAGAUGUAGCUGAGGAUGCCGGAAGCUGACAUAUGACACAUUGUGAGGAAAAUUGGGAAUCUGAAGCCAUAACUGGAGAGCAAGAACUUGUUGAGGAGAAGAACGCCGAUGUUUGAUGAGUACCAGAGGAAUAUGAGUAAUGAGACGAACACAAAUUGGUUUGAUGAUGAUUGUGAGAUUGAUGAUGAUGAGGAGGUCGUAGGUAACAUUUUUUCUGGGUUUUUCCCUUUAAAAAAAUCAAGGAUUUGAAGGAGGAGGAAGAAGGUGGGUAGUCAUUGGGGUUGAAACAAUGGUGGCAAAAACAUUCGAUUUCGGGUAUCUAAAAUUACAUGGAAUUCAACGUGAUGAUUUGUGCGGUGAAAUUAUCGUGGCAUUUGGGCAGGUGAGGUGGGAUGGAGGUUUUUGAGGAGGAAGUGUGUCAUUGUCACAAGGCAACAAUCGGGUCAAAACGCCAAUUUGUUUGAUUUGUGAUGACGCAAGGGUAGUGUCAUUACUCAUUACUUUCUUAGAUAAUCCAGAAUUUAUUUAAUAAUAUGAAUAUGAAUUCAUACAAAUACAAUGUUAGAGAAUAUUACAUCAUCUCUAUGGUAUGGUAUGUUGCUUUUUAAUUGUGGCAGAAUUUUGUUGUGGAUUUGAUCUUUCAACUUAACUUAACUAACUACAAUUUUUUUUUUAAUUAUCGAUCUGCCCUUAUUUUUAUUUUUUUUUUAAGUUUUUCUCAUUAUUUAUAUCAAUGUUAUGGAUGAAGCCUACCACAUCCAUGUAGAGCUUUACCAUCUAAAGUCCUAACAAACAUGUCUAUUCCAAUCCACCAUAUCAAAACCACCAAAACAACAAAAAUCAGCAUCGAUGAUUGGUGACAGCCAUCUCCACCGCUACAUCUUUCACUUUGUGGCCAUUAAACAUCAAUAUACCAAUGCUAACUUUGCCAUAAAAUCCCAUCAGUACAUAAUUGCCAAACUCCUACAACAAACAUGGUUCCUAACGUCUUAUGGUUCCUUGAGAAUCUUCAUUUUAGUGCAAACUUCAAAAACCGUUGUGCCUUUAAAAUAGACGAUGUCUUAGGCGAUCAAUAUUGAAUACUUUUUGAAGAUGGAUCUACAAAUUCGUGGUUUAGGUUUUAAAAGAAAAACAUGUCGCCUCCUUCCUCGUUAUUCGAUAUCACUUUCUGCCCCAUUAUUCACAACCAUCCAUACUCUUGUAGACCACUUACAACCCUUGUUUUAAUUAUUGGGCAAUUAUGGUGUCCUUGCCCAUGUAGACUAACCUUGUUUUGAGGAAUCCCAAUUGAUUAUACUUCUAACCCACGCAAGAUUUGGGAUCGAAUAUGCAUAAUGACGAAAGAUGAUGUAUGGUUGAUUUGUUUAUAAGGCUUGAUUCAAAAAUUAUUUCUAAUGUUUGAUCGUAGUUUUGUUUCAUGUGUGUUUAACAAGUUGCUAGUCGUGAUUUGGAAUUCUUCUAGUGGGUGGAUGUAUGCAAGUUUGAGCACAAUAAAGAAACUUAUGCAAAAGACGUCUAAAUAAUCGUACAAUUACUUUUUGAAAACGAAGGGACUAAGUAUGCAUCUAAUGAUUAAGUAUGGAGGGGUGAGAAAUAUGAGAAUAAUGAAUACUAGAUUUAAUUUUUUUUGACGUCGAUACUCCUUAUUUCAUCAAUCCAAAUCCAAUCCUUCAUGGCAUAUCAAUUUUUUUCUUUCUCGUCCCACUUUCAUCUGUUUCAUCAUUAAACACAAAAAAUGGAUCGUUCUUAUCAUUUUCAUCGCACAUGUUUUAUUUAAAUAAUUUAAUAAAAUAUAAAGUCAAUUUUAAAUAUAAUUAUAUACAUAUAUUAAAGGGCAUUCUCUUAUGAAUAGUAGAGUUUAUCGACUUCCAACUUUCCCCACAACAGUUUGUAACUUCCGACUUUACCCACAGCAAUUUCUACACAUUGUCUCUUUUUGUCCUCCCAUGUUUCCACCGCCCUUCUUAGCCAAUCGAAUGUUUGCACAUAGAUGAUCUUCUACUAUGCUUCCCUCGUAUUAUCUCUCCAACAAUUUCAAACUAUUUGGGUUUAUUUCCCUAUCCGUUGUUCUUUUCUUUUUGUUCGUUUCAAAGAUUUUGGGGUUCAUGCUUCCAUUGCAUCGUCAGGUAAGGGUUUAGGGUGUCGCUUCUUACAAUCAGAUGUCUUUUGUUGUUGUUUCGAAUUUGGAUAUGCUGUUUGUUGUUUCUAUUUGAUUUUCAGUUUUUGUUGUGAUUGUUGUUUCCUUUCUUUUUUAUGCGAUGAAUCCCAACCACCGUAAAAGGGGCUCCACUUCUGGUGCAACAACCCCAUGUCGUUCACGGAGGAAUUUGUUUUUGGUAAACGUAUUUGUGUUGCCUGUUUGUUGCGACUGUGUGAAUUGUUCUUGUAUGUGUGAGUUUUGCGGGGAUUUUUUUUUUGGUUUCAUGAAAGGGUGUUGUAUUUUGAUUCAUUGAAGCAAUGGAAUUGGUGCAUGUAAACCUUCAGCCACAACUUUAGAUGUAUCAAGCAAAAAAUUAGUUCUAAAACUUAAGUUUUGUUUUUGAAGGUUACCAAAUUUCAUUCGAUAUUGAACAAGAUGAAAUUUACUAAGAAACUAAUGAUGUUCCGAUUCCAAAGAUGAUCAUAGACCAGGAUAAGGUGGUUUAGUUGGUGGCUUGGAUGCACAGUGGUUUUGCGUCGGCGCCGAAUUGAAGCUGUUUCUAUCAUCGGCACACGCGUAUACGUCCACCCCUUCAUCGCCUUUAUACUCCAAUAAAGUCUUCCACAGCAUCUACAAACCCUUCUGGUAUUGUUGUGAAUUAGGACUAUGCAAGAUCGUUCUUUUAAGGUCUGCAAACACUAAAUAAAAUCGCUCGAUGCUUCAACCCCUUUUCAUCAAUGAAUAUUUUAUGUUGUCUUCUCUUCUGGUAAGUAAUGAGAUUUUUUCUUAAUUUUCUCCUGAGAUUUUUAGAGGCAUUGAAACAGAUUAUGUAAAAAAUGUUGAAAUCAAUCAUUUUCAGUUGGGGAUGAACCUUUUGUACAUAUUAGUUAUUUUUUAGCAGUGUUGCAGAAAUCGGCAUUGGCGGCCGAUUAAUCGGCGAUUAAUCGUUUGGCGGCCUCGAACCGAUUACGAUUAGAGUGUCUGGCGGUUCUCGGCGGUCAUAGGCGGGAAAUUUUUAAAAAAUUCAAAAAAAAAUUCAAAUAUUACAACAAAAUUUUAAAAUUUUAAAUUUUUAAGCUUUCAAACUUUAAAAUAUUAUACUAAAAUUUUUAAAAUUUAAAAUUUCCAAAUACUUAAUUUUUUAGUAAAUAUUAAUUUUUUAAAUAAUUUUAUUAAUAAUUUAGGGUCCCCGAUUAAUCGCCGAUUAAUCCCCGCCGAGUCUGAUUAAUCGCUUAUCGUCAGUCGACCGCUGAACAAUUUUUAAAACCUUGUUUUUUAGUAAUAAAACUUUGUUUACAAUUUUAUUAUGGAUGCAAUGCACAUCAGGUAUUUGACAUAGUGUCUCAAAGAAUGUUCAAAGCUUCUUUUUGUCAUAGAUCUAUGUUCAACCUCAUUAUGUGAAAGACAAUUGAUAUGCAUAAGAAAUAAGAACACAAAAAUUGAAUGAAAUAAACUCUUAUUGUAAUUCAGAAAAUAACUCAAAAUUGGAUUACAAUCUUUCCUUUCUUGCUCUCUCUAAAAUCGAUAUGAUUCUACUUGAUCAUAUGCAAGCAGGCCCGGUUUAGGGCAGGUGCCAAAUGGGCAAUGGAACAGGGCCUAAAAUUUAAGGGGCCCAAUCUUUUUUUUUUGUGUGUGUAAUCCGUCAGCGGUCGACCCCAAGCAAUCCAACACCAUUCGAAUCUCAAAUUGGGAAAUCGGUGUCAAACAGAAAGCGAACAACAACGAAUCAACAAUCGAUCGAUUGGUCUUGCUCGUUAUCCUUAAAAAAAGUCGAUUGCAGCAAUCGAUAAUCGUGGAAGACUGGAAUCAGGGCAGGGAAACGAUCAAACGAAGGGCAAUGGCGCAGUGCAUCAACGGACAGCGAUCCAUCAGGUUAGCGACAUCGACAACAAUCAACAAGACAAUAAUUAUCAUUCAUCAUCCUCCAGCAUACAACACUACAUCAGUUUCUAACUUUUUAUUUUCUAGGUGAGGGUAUUAGAGUCUUAGACAAUUAGAAUAUUAGAAUUUAUCUAUCCUAUAUUCCUAUCCCUGUUAUCAAUUUAUCAAUGACCCAAUUAUCCAUUCAUGAUUUAUCCUGCUAAUGUAAUAGAUUAUGAGAAAUUAAGGAAUUAGAAAUAAGGAAUUAAGGAUUAUGAGUUUGUAAAUUAUAAUUCUCAAUUCAAUUGCAUACUUGAAUGAGUUGAAUGUAUUAUCAAAUUUUCAGAUUCUUGUGUAAUUGUUUAGAUAAACAACUGUUUAAUUUUCAGAUUCUUGAAUGUGAUUCAUGAAUUUUUAAUUGUUUAUCUAUAACACCCAAAGUUUUGAAAGCCAAGAAAGUAAAGGAAACCCAAAAAUUAAGGGGGACUCGGCGAGUCCAAGGAGGAACUCGACGAGUCGGAGCGGGAUCCGAGUCGAGGAGUAAGUGACCAACUAGGCGAGUCGGCCAAGGCGACUCGGCGAGUAGGGUCUGUGCGAGGAAAACCCUAAAUCCGGGGCUUGGAGCCUAUUUAAACGUCUCAUUCUUCUUUCUAGGGCUCCUUUACUACCUCUCCAACCCAGAAUACAAACCUUAAACCGCCAUGUUGCUUAUUCAAGCUCUUUGCCAUUUUGAGGGUGAUUUGAAGGAAGAAGGAGGGAAGGACCUUUCAGAGCACUUGAAGGAAAUAAGUCGUUUCUUUCAUCCAGAUCUACUUUGGUUAUGAGUUUUGGGGCUUUUAAGCCAUGUUAAGAUCAAUCUCGAGCUUGAGGUCCAGAUCUGAGGUUGCUACCUCAGAUUCAUGCUUGCUUUGGUUUAGAAUCCCGUAAAGUAUCAGCCAUUGAGUGGAUUAUGGAGCCUCUUGGUCUUAAACCUUGGUUUAUGGUGCAUUUUGCCUAGAUCUCCUUCUCUACACGUAAAGUUUGCAACUUUACGUGAGGACUAGGCUUGGGAAGGGUAGAUCUACAGUUUGGAGUCCCUGCAUGACUCGAAAGUCCUCUACAUGUAUGUGGAACCAAGUGGACUCGGCGAGUCCUUCGAGUGGACUCGGCGAGUAGCUUGAAGAUGAGGAUGAACUCGACGAGUGGGAUGAACAGCUCGUCGAGUCGGAUGAUGAUGGGCAUGAACUCGGCGAGUUGGUUGAAGAUUGCCUUGUGCUCGGUGAGUCUGUUCAUAGACUCGACGAGUCAGGUCGCGUGGUCCCAAACCCUUCAAGUUAAGACUCGAGUCAGCGAGUCGAGCCAGGACUCAGUGAGUGGGACAGGACAGGAUUCGGGAAUCAGUAGACUCGGUGAGGGCUGACUCGGCGAGUCAAGUCGCGAUUGGAAGGACUUUGAGCAUAAGAACUCGGCGAGUCAGUAAGUGGACUCGGCGAGUAGGGUUGACCUGGAAGGUUGACUUUGACCAAGACUUUGACUUGGACCAGAGUUGACUUGGUUGACUGUCGGGGGUCAGUUAGACUAAGUGUUGCAUUGAUAUUGAUAGCUCGGGAAGCUAGUAGAGCAGGAGUCCAGUGAGUGGUCGGGCAGCAGCUAGUGGGAUCAUCAGCCAGUUCAGCCAGUGCAGGUGAGUUUCCCUUUUUGUAUGAAUGGGUCUACGGCCACAAUGUCGGCCCGUGUAAUUAUGAGUAGAAGACCCGGGGGUUAGCCCCAGGCACAGUAUGCUAGUAUGAUAUUCGGGACGAGGUCCAAUGAUAGAGGGCGGGUGCCUAAGGAAUGUUUUAUGAGAUAGUUUAUACUUGUUGUCUGUGUGAUACUUGUAUGUGCCUGGUAGGGAGGUGAGUGUGGGCGAGGUCCCGUAUCUCACCAAUAGCAGAGUGUGGAUGGUGUUCCACAUCUCAGUAGUAGCAGAGCAGGGGCGAGGCCCAAGUUAGGGAAGGAGUGAGGGUGGGCUGGGCCCGUACCUCACUAUCAGCAGGAGUAUGGACGGGGUUCCAUGACUCAUCAGUAGCAGGACAAGGGCGGGGCCCAGAAAUAGGCGAGGCCUUAGGACAAGAUCCGUUAGUAUGUGUUUGGACUAUGUGAUGUGAUGUGAUAUGUUUACGUGCUAUAUUAUGUGUUAGUGGGCGAGGCCCUGUGACAGGCGAGGCCUAAGUGAAACAGAUCUGUAUCCGAGCGGGGCUCGAAGCCAGGCGGGGCCGUUGUAGCGGGCAAGGCCCGAGGUAGGGGCCGAGGCCCAGGAUAGCGGGCGUGGCCCAGUAUUUGCAGUAUGUGUUAGUUGCAGCUAGAUAGAGAGCGUGGCCCAGUAUAUGCAGUGUGCAGUUAUGCGCAUGGUAUGUGGUAGGGUGGGGAACUCACUAAGCUUCGUGCUUACGGUUUUCAGUUUUGGUUUCAGGUACUUCCGGUAGCGGAUGAUGGGGCUCGGGGUGAUCGCAUGGCACACACCAUAGUUUAGACAGCCUGGGAAUGUUUACUCUGAUAACGAAUAUGUAUUUUGGAAACUAAUACUUUUUUUAUGUUUGAAAACGAUGAAUUUACUUAACGUAAUGUUUUAUUAAAAGAAAUUUUUAGUCUUAAAUUUUGGGACGUUACAUUAUCACUAUAUCGUAUUGUCAUUAUGUUAUAUUAUCAUAUUGAAAUCUGAUUGAAUGAUUCACAAUGUUGAAUGAUUUUGAAAUAGAUUAUUAGAAACAUAAAUUAAAUUAUGAGAUUAUUUUUAUUGUAUAAUUGUUUAUCAGAAAUUUGGAAUUCAGAAACCAUAGUGUAUAAAGAAUCAAAUUAUGUUUAUUGUUUGAAAAAUUGUAGAGAUUAAGUCUAUACAACCAUCCGGUAGUCAAAAACGUAAAAAAAGAAAACUAGAUGAAGAAAAGAGAAAGGCUGACGUCGGUGCUCUAGAUAAGUUUAUCCAUAGACAACCUAUUGAAGAGCAUGUUGAAGAGCACAUUGAAGAGCAUGUUGAAGAUAAAGAGCAUAUAGAAGUAGAAGAGUCAAAAGAGCAAGAGCCCGUUAGAGAGCUUGUUGAUAUAUAUGAUCCAAGAAGGUGGGAAAAACUUAAUUCUGAGGAGAUUAAACUUUUGGUCCAAAAAGGCCCUAAAAGAGAUAAUAGUAUUAUGUAUGGUCCUUACGGUAAAUUUGGUAGACGGUUUUCUACAGCUUUAUAUACAAGAACUUUACCAAAUUUGGAAAAGUGUGAUAGAGAAUGGCUAGUAUAUUCAACAGAGCUAGACAAAGUAUUUUGUUUCUGUUGUAAAGUGUUUAGAAAAGGGAUUUCAAAAGGUAAAUUGGAUGGUGAAGGUUAUGCAGAUUGGCACCAUGUUACCACUAGGGUAAAGGACCCGAAAUUUCAUUGGAUCAUCUUACAAAUAGGAAUAAGUGGUUUGAUAUGCGUAAAAGAUUGAACUUGAAUGAAACAACUGAUAAAGUUCAAUACGAGCAAUUCAAGAAAGAAAGAGAUUACUAGAAACAAGUCCUUUAUAGAAUCAUUGCAGUAGUGAAGUUUCUUGCUAAACAUAAUUUAGCAUUUCGUGGAUCCAAUGAAAAGUUGUAUCAAAAAGGUAACUAUAAAUUGUACUUUUUUUGUUCUAAUUCCACCAAAUACUUUUUUGUUAAUUAUUAUGACGGAUUUCACUUCUUAUUUGUUAAUUGUAUGUAAUAAGUAACGGAAAUUUUUCGGGUGUCAUUGAAAUGUUGGAAGAGUUUGACCCGGUUAUCAAAGAGCAUUUGUGGCGGAUCACAAGUGAUGGGCUUCAUGUGCAUUAUCUUGGCCACUUAAUCCAAAACAAACUAAUAUCUUUGCUAGCUCAAGAAAUUUAAAAAGAACUUAUCUGUAACGACCGAAAAAUACAACAAAUUUUAAAUUUUUCAAAAACAUCUCAAUUCUAAUAAUUCUUUACAAAAAGGUUUUCAAUACAAAACAUUUAUCGUAUUCCCAGAAUCAUAACACUACAAAAUCAUGAGGAGCGGUACGAUCACGCCUUCGCCUUGCCACGAUCUCCUGAAGAACCUGAAAAACAUGAAACCACAACUGUAAGCCCGAAAGCUUAGUGAGAUACCCCCAAAAUACCAACCACAAAUACCAUACACGCAUAACAUGCCAUAACAUAUCCGAUCAUAGAACAGUCAUGCUCUCCGGGUCUACUGUGUGACUGGUCCGCCGCACCGGCCAACAGUCCACCUGGUCCACCCUCUGAGUCUAUCCGCAUACAUCGAGUCUACAGUGUGAUUGGUCCGCCCGUUCCCGAGCCUUCAAUCCACCUGGUCCACUCUCUGAGUCUACAGUAUGACUGGUCCGCCCGCAUCGGGCCUUCAGUCUGUCUGGUCCACUCUCCGAGCCUUCGGCACGUCUGGUCCGCCCCUUCCGGGACCUACAGCCUAUCCGGACCGCUCGCUGGGCCUACGGGACAACCGGUCCGCCCUGGGUAUCUUGGCCUACUGCACACAGCAGGACCCGCCUCAACCCAACUCCAGUCCAAACAUCCAUGUGCACAUAUACAUACAAUCAUCUAACAAUUCACAGUCAACAAGCAGAUCAACAGAUCACAUAACAUGCCACUAUCCUAACCAGGAUACCGACCUAACAGGUCACUAACAUAGCAUCUCCCUAUCUCUCUGGAUACCGAUCUCAAUCAGGUCUCUAGCAUAUACCAUCCUAACUCACAGGAUGCAAACAUGAUAAAGCAGUAACAUAAAAACAACUACCCGGAUCUCAAUCCGAUAAGGGCCGGCCUUGGUGCCUUAGACCCCGUUGAUAUAGUGAGGAUAACUCACCUCGAAGCUGCCGACUGAACAGAUAAUCCAAGCUACUCCGAUCACUGAUACGAUCUCCACCACUGGUCAACCACCAAUGCGCUGAACUCAAAACAACAAACAAUAAUUACCAAAAUGCCCCUGGACACCAUUGGUCAACCCUUGGACAAAGACAAGGUCAAAGUCAACUCCUGACUGACCCUACUCGCCGAGUCAACCCUAUGACUCGCCGAGUUCCCAUACUCAGACUUCACUCCAUCCGCGACCUAACUCGCCGAGUCACCCCGAGACUCGCCGAGUCCAACAACUCAGAGUCCACUCGCACACAACUCACCGAGUCAUCCCUUGACUCACCGAUUCUCGACUCAACCAGAGAAUAUCGGAACUCUUCGACAAGACUCGCCGAGUCCAAGAACAGACUCGCCGAGUCNNNNNNNNNNNNNNNNNNNNNNNNNNNNNNNNNNNNNNNNNNNNNNNNNNNNNNNNNNNNNNNNNNNNNNNNNNNNNNNNNNNNNNNNNCAAAUAACACCUUUAGCCCUUCAACUCUACUCUUGCUAUUUCGGGAUGUUACAUUAUCAAGAAGAUAAAUAGAGCAAAGUACUACUCAAUCAUACUUGAUUGUACUCCCGAUUCAAGUCACCAAGAACAAAUGACUAUAAUAGUGAGGUAUUUAACAUUAUCAUAUAAUUUUGUUACUGUCGAGGAGUCCUUUUUAUGUUUUUUGAAUGUUGAUGAUACUUCUGGAAAAGGACUAUUUGAUAUUACACUUGAGGAGUUAAAGUCUCUUGGUCUUGAAAUUGAUGAUAUGUGUGGUCAAGGCUAUGAUAAUGGAGCAAACAUGAAAGGAAAACACCAAGGAGUGCAAAAGAGAUUUUUAGAUAUAAAUCCUAGAGCAUUUUACACUCCUUGUGGUUUCCAUUCUCUAAAUCUAACAUUAUGUGAUAUGGCUAACAAGUGUGUUAAAGGAAAGAACUUUUUUGGAUUCAUUCAACGCAUUUAUAUUAUCUUUGCAAAUUCUACUAAGAGGUGGGAAAUUUUGAAAGAUAAUGUUAAAGCUUGGAGUCUUAAGUCAUUGUGUCAAACUCGUUAGGAAAGCCGGGUUGAGAGUGUAAAGGUUAUUAAACUUUGACUUGUGGAUGUACGGGAAGCUUUACUUCAAGUUGGAGAAAAAAAUAAUGAUGUUGCAAUUGCAAGUGAAGCAACUUCACUAGCAGAAAAAAGAACUUGGUGACUUUGAAUUUUUGGUAUCAAUUGUUAUUUGGUAUGAAGUAUUAAACCAUGUGAAUAUUGUGAGUAAGAAGUUACAAUCAAAGGAUAUGCAUCUUGAUAAUGCUAUUACAUAAAUAAACAAAUUGAUUGGGUACUUCAAGAAUUAUAGAGAAACUGGUUUUUCAAAAGCGAUUGUUGAAGUUAAGGAGAUUGCUAUUGAAAUGGGUAUUGAUCCAAUAUUUCCACAAAAGUGUUUGAUUGAAAGGAAAAAAAAGGUUUGAUGAGAGUUCACCUAGCCAAGAAGUUUCAUUUACACCUGAAGAGAAUUUUAGAGUCAAUUAUUUCUUAUUCAUUGUUGAUCAAGUUAUUUCUUCUCUUGAGACAAGAUUUGAACAAUUCAAAGAGUAUGACAAAGUAUUUGGUUUUUUAUUUCCACAUAAUUUAAGGGGAAUUGAAGAUAAAGAUUUUAAGUCGUAUUGUCAUCGUCUUGAAAAAGCACUCAAGUUUGAAGAAAGAUCGGAUAUUGAUGCCGAGGAACUUUAUACGGAGUUGAAAUUAUUUGAGACAUUGGAAGCCAAUGAAUUUAGCAACCCUAUAUAUGUUUUGAAGUUUUUGAAAGAACUUGAUUAUUUCCCAAAUGCAAGCAUUGCAUAUAGAAUAUUGUUGACUAUUCUAGUAAUGGUUGCAUCUGCAGAAAGGAGUUUUCUAAAUUGAAGUUUGUGAAAUCUUACUUACGCUCCACAAUGACACAAGAAAGACUUAGCGGUUUGGAAAUGAUAUCUAUCGAGAACGAAAUCUUAGAGAGUGUAGACUAUGAAGAGUUGAUCAACAAAUUUGCAAUCAAGAAUGCUAGGAGAGCUUCACGGAUCGUCGGUUAGCUGUUAGGAUAUUUAAUUACUCUUUAAAAUACUAUGAUUUUGCUUUGUUUAUUUCUAUAAAGUUUAUCGUCAUUUUAAUAAAAAUAUUAUUUUAUGUAAGUUAAUUUGUUACAUGUUAAGGCCUAAGGGCCUUUUUUUAUCCAUCUCGUCCUGGGAUUUUGAAUCCUCAGAACCGGCCCUGUAUGCAAGUAUAUAUAGAUGGCUAAAUAGAAUCCUACUUGAUUACAACUUGCCAUAUAAAUGACUUGCUUGAUCCUUAAGUAAACUAGAUUUCCUUUGGUCCUAAGCAACUUCUUAAGACUCCUUGUUGCCCAAGGAAUGAACCUUCCUACACCUCAUCGUGUAUAGAAGAGGGAAUGAACCAUAUAUGGUUUGCCUCAUUAAAACCUUGUUUAGAGAAAACCUAGUGGGAAAAAAUCUAAGUAAGGACAAAAGAAUGCACUAUGGUUAAUAAGUAUUCAACUGGAUACUCCCCCUGACUUCAAAAAUUGUAUGUGAGAAUGGGAUACAGAUAGUGUCUCAUUAAAAAAACUUUGUUAAGGUAAACCCCAUGGGAUAAAAACCUUGAGCGAAAGGGAAAAGAGUACACAAGCAUUCAUCAGGAUGUUCCCCCUCACAUGCACUCAACAUGGUGCAAAGCAUACGCCGGGAUGCAAGUCUUAUUUACACAUAACUGGGUACAUGAUACAUGUCAUUUAGGUAGCCUAAAGAGCUCCCUAAGUCCAAUAGCUUUGACAUGUUUUUGGAAAGAGUACUUCAGUAGUGACUCGGUGAACAAGUUUGCAUGAUUCUUAUCUGAUCUAAUAUGUUUCACUUCAAUCUUUUGAAAUGCUUGUUGUUCAUGUGUAAAGAACAAUUUCGGUGAGAUGUUUUUAGUGUUAUCCCCUUUGAUGUAACCAUGUUUCGCUUGGUCAAUAACAACAAUGUUAUCUUCAUAUAUGACAAUUGGUUCAUUGGGAUCAUAAGCCAAAUCACAUUUACUUCGAAUAUGGCCAAUUACAGGUCGAAGCCAUGCACACUCUCUAGUCGUCUCAUAGAGGGAAGGUAGUUUAGAGUGAUUAGUCGAAGUAGAAACUAGAGUUUUUUUACAAGAUCUUUAGGAUAUCACCGUGUUCCCGAUGGUAAAGACAACCAGAUUGGGAACGCCCCUUAUGCGGGUGGGUUACACUUGAUCCCACAUCGGCUUGGAAGGAGAACGAAACAUUUCCUUAAAAAGGGAUGUGGAUAACUUCCUCGUCACAAUGUGUUUUAAAGCUGCGAGGGAAGCAGAUCCCAUAAGAACUCUAUAGUUAAACGUUCCCGAGCAAGUGCAACUUAAGGAUGGGUGACCCCGUGGGAAAUUUUUGAGCCAGGAGCCCAAAGCGGACAAUAUUGUGAUACGUACCAGAGGGGAAUGUUACAAUAACCAUCACAUCUGUAACAAAGAGUUCGCUCAUCAACAUGAUCUCUUAUGUUAGGACAAUUGGACGUUUGUUAUUGUUCUUAUUAUGAGAUUGCUUAGGAGCCGAAGUUCUUUGGUAUGAAUUGGAUUGUUAACCUCGCUAAGUUUGGCGAGAUUUACGCUUACCAUGAUUCAUUUGCUUUCAGUAUGACUGACCCUUUUCUCGGUUCACGUUUCGUGGUUGAGGCCCGCGAACAUUAUUAGCAUCGAGCAUUGGAAUUGAUUUUGUAUCAACAUGACGAGAAUUGACAUUUCUCAUUAAAACGAUGCUAUUUUUCUCAUCCAAUAGUAAUUGGGUAAUGAGCUCAGGGAACAUUGUGAACUUGGACUGAUAGUAAUGCUUCUGAAGCAAAUUGUCAUAACUAUGAAAUGUGGUGUAAGUCUUCUCCAAUAAGUCAACAUCAAUCAAUGGUUGACCACAAUAAUGAUGAAGUGAACAAAUUCUACAGACUUUGGUGUUAUACUCAGUAACUGAAACGAAGUCUUGGAAUUGAGCUAACCUUGGCGGGCUUCAGAAAGCCAUAUGGUCUUUUGAUAGUCGAAACGCUCUUUCAAAGAAUCUCAUAAUGUCUUGGGUGAGGUGAUUGCUAUGAAUUCAGACUCCACUGUGUCUGACAGAUGACGGCAAAAUAACAUCAUCGCUUUAGCAUUCAUUUUGCGGAUAACUUCAACCUCACAAUCAUCUUCAUCUUAAAUGAUAUCCAACAAUCCCUAGGCAUCUAGGCGGUUCUGAAUAUCUUUAGUCAAUUCCAAAUAGUUCUUGUUGACGGCGUCCAAGAUAAGGAAAUCAAUUUUGAUCGACAUUUUCCUACAACGAUAGGAAAAAUAAUGGAUUAGUUAUCAUAUAAAAUGACAUGUUUAUAUGUUUAUGGUUUGCAUUAGCACAAAUUGUGUUUCGAAAUGACAUACUCGAGAAGCACACAAUUUGCUAAACUUUGUUUUCGAAACGCUAGGUUCGAGAAACACAAGAUUUACUAUAGCGAACUUUGUUUUUGGAAACGACAGGUUGGAGAAACACAAGUGUGAAAAAAAUCUCAUUGAUCGAACAAUGGGUCGAUUCAAGCAUAUAAUCUAAAUUUGUUGUCAAUCACAUUGAUGUAUUUAUAGAUGAUCCAUAAUUUCUUCACAUAAACGUGACAUGUAUUUGGUAGAUGACAAAACUCAUGUUUGAGAAGAAAAAGUCGUUGAAAUUCUACAAAUAUUAAGAGUUAUAAACAACUUUUAGGAAUUUUAAAGGUCAAAAAAACCAUUUAUGCCACAUAAAUAAGUAACUACAUGCUCAUAAAAACAUAUAUNNNNNNNNNNNNNNNNNNNNNNNNNNNNNNNNNNNNNNNNNNNNNNNNNNNNNNNNNNNNNNNNNNNUAUACAAUGUCCUUAAUACUAAUCAUACAUACUUAUAAAGUUAGCAUUUUUUCUUGAAUCUCAUGCAUUUGAAACCCCCAUAAAAAUAUGUCAACACCACAUGCAUUUGAAACCCCCACACCUUUUCACCUUCAAAGUAAUUAAUCACACAUAAUCUCAUUCAUUUCAAACCUAUAAGUUCAACACCUCAUGCAUUUCAAACCCCCACACCUUUUCACCUUCAUUAUAUAUGUAGUUAUAUUAGUACAUUUUUCUUACAAAAAGUCGUUAUUUGGUUGAAGAUAUUAUGAUUCAAAAGUUUUCAUAUAGUUGAAGCAUUCACGAUCCAAAUAUGAUGAUUUAAAGAAAUGGGUUAUGUCGCAUCGAUGGUAACUGUAAUUUGAUUUUUUCUUUCAAGCAAAACAAAUGAAACUUUUCUAUUCUUUAUUUAUAUUCAAUUUUUCAUUUGACCUUUAUAUGAUUUGUAUGUAUAACUCAAUCUUGAAUGUGACUCUCCAAACAUCAAUGUUUUGCUUGGAAUAUCUUUCUCAUUCUUAUCUUUCAAGAAAAACAUUUUGAUUGCAGGUUAGUGAAGAAUUGUCAUCAAGUUUCCAUGGUUGAGUGGUGUUCAAUAAAGAAAGAAGAUUCAGAAAACGGAUAUAGUUUUUUUUUUGUUUGAGCAAAGUAGACGAAUGUUAGUUUUUUCUUUUGAUUUAAAUGUAUAUUUAUGUAACAUUUUUAUUUAUAUAUUCAACCACCCAAUGUUCUUAUUUAUUUGAUUGUAGUUUUUCUAUUUUGAUUAUGUUUAUUUUAUAUUAUUUUUUGUUGGGUUAUCCUACACAACAUAUUUACAAGACAAUAUUUAAAAGAUAACAUAAUUUUUAACAUUUGAUAUGUAAUUAUGAUGACUAAUCAUGAUAUGUUAUUCAUAUGAAAUUAAUUUAUCCAUAUUACUACGACAAAAAUUACAUAUGACAUUUACAAAAAUAUAUAUUAUAUGUGAUUUGUUUAACAUAUAUAUAUGCACCUAUGUAUGUUAUAAAUUUAUAAUUAAAUAUAUUUAUGUUUAAUAAUUGAAGGGAUUAAAAUGAUGCAUCAAAACCAAUUAUUUAGACGAAUAUAAUAAUAAUAAUAAUAAUAAUAAUAAUAAUAAUAAUAAUAAUAAUAAUAAUAANAGACAAUAUUUAAAAGAUAACAUAAUUUUGAACAUUUGAUAUGUAAUUAUGAUAGACUUAUCAUGAUAUAUUCUUCAUAUGAAAGUAAUUUAUCCAUAUUACUACCACAAGAAUUACAUAUGACAUUUAUGAAAAUAGAUAUAUUUUAUGUGAUUUGUUUAACAUGUAUAUGCACUUAUGUAUGUUAUAAAUUUAUAAUUAAAUAUCUUUAUGUUUAAUAAUUGAAGGGAUUAAAAUGAUGCAUCAAAACUAAUUAUUUAGAAGAAUACAACAACAACAACAACAACAACAGCAACAACAACAGCAACAGCAGCAGCAACAGCAUCAACAACAACAACAACAACAACAACAACAACAACAACAACACAUUUUCAAGUACCGUAUUCAUUUGAAACUCACACUACAACUCAAGAGUUUUCUAAUUUAUGUAUAUUUAUUAGUUACAACUCAAAAGUUUUUAACUUAUGAUUAUUAAUUAGUAAUCACUAAUAACUUUUUAUUUUCCUUUCUUUUAUAAGGUUGUAAAGUUUUGCUCAUUAAAAACAUUAAUGUAUUUGACGAGAUUUGUGAUUUAAAUAUGAAAAGUUAAUAUAAAUGUUAUAAUAAAUGUUUUAGUGUUGUUAUUAAAAGUUGUAGUGUUCAUUUUUAAAUAUUUUUUUAUUAUUCGUUGUAUAUAUAUCUUUUUUAAUACAAUGCUAUAAUAGAUGUUUUUGUAUUUUUAUGUUACUAAAAGUUGUAGCUCAUAUUUUUGUUCAUACAUUUUGUUACCCGCUAUAUAUAGAUUAUCAUACGUUUGAUAUAUAAUUUACACAAUUUUAAACGGUUUAUAAAAUUAUCAAAUAAUUGUAUAUAUCACAAUGACUUAAAACUUAAAACUAUAAUCAUCAUACUAUAUUAUAAAAGAAAUAUUUUUUCGUUCACAACAUUCAUUUGAAACUCCCAACAUUUCAUAUUUCCAUACAAUGUACUUAAUUUAUUAACUUAAAUAUGCUUUUAGUUGUAAACAUUAUCAUAAAUGGAAGAAUUUGUGACUUAUCAAAAUGAUAUACUUAAUUUGUUAACUUCAAUGUAUAGUUAAAUAAAUAACCUACAUUAAUAUAUCAAAUAAGCUUAAAAAUUUAGUGUAAAAUUUAAAACUUAAAGUAAAAUAUCAAAUAAUGUUUAAAAAAAAUCAAUAUAUAUUUUUUAACAUAGUUAAAAGGAAAACAUUAAAUAUAAUAAUAAUAAAAGAACCUAAAUUGAUGAUUGAAUUAACUAAAAGGUGUCUGAAAACAAUAUUCUAACAAUAUAUUUUUAACAUGCGCCGCGCAACGCGCGAGAAUUCGUCUAAUGUUAGUAAUAAUCAUAGCAAAAUAUGAUGGAUAUGAACUAUGGAGGAUAUUUGUGACAUAUGGUCUUUUAACAAAAGAAAUGAUAAGUUUUCAAGACUACAAUGAUCAUUAUUGUAAUUUAUGUGUCCAUCAUAAAAAAAAAAUUGUCGUUGUAGGAAAUAUAAAUCCAGAGAGGUCUCAUAUUCCGAUUAUGUGACACUAAAAACAUCUACAAAAAAAGUUCAAUGUGCAAAUUCGAGUAGAUCAAAAUAAACAAUACCCAACAAAUUCUUUUAUCUCACUUUUGAUCUAGGAAAAUUUUUCAUUUUUCCCAAAGUAAUACCAAAUGGAAAAAAGUAGACAAAGUCGAGGAGUAUUAAGAAAGCCUUACUUCAUAAUUAGAGAAAAUAAAACGACAAACAUAAAGUAUAAUGCUUCCAACUUCGAGCAAAGUGCUAAUAUCGUGUUGUAAGACAAAUUAGCUCACGUUAAUGAUCAUGCAAAGAUUCAUCAGACAAUGUGAAUGUGUGAUACAAAAAUACAUGAAAACUCUUUAUAUAAUCCUCUAUAUAAGACAAUGGAUGAUUGAAUCAAAGAUAGUAAACUCUAAAUAUAAAUGCACUUAUGAACUAUAUGAACUACGUAAGUAUGAUCAAUUACUAGUAACAUAAUGAGUCAGAACAAAUGUAAAAUAAAAUUGUCGUUAGACCAUUUAUUUUAUUUAUAAAUAGAAUAUACUAACAAAAAUAAAGUAAGAUCAAAGGUUGAUUAUGGAUCUUGAGCCAAUAUUACGAGGCCACGAGGGUGUUAACCCUAGGGACAAAAUUGUCUUUUAGAUGCUAGUUAGGGUUUUGCUUCUCUUUAAGCACACACCUAUAUAAAGCGAAAAAUAGCACCAUGACCCCCCUCUCACGAAUUAUACAUACCGCCGCUGAUUGUGAUUUCAACGAAGAAGCACCGGAAAAUGGGAGUUUUCACAUUCGUCUGCAAAUCCUCCGGCGGCAAAUGGACUGCCAAGCAGCUAAAGGGAGACCUUGAAGGCUCCGCCGACUCUACCUACGCUCUUCAGAGGUCUCUUGUUCAGGCCGCUUAUUCUUGCGACUCUUCCGGUGGUAUCCAGUCUUCUUUCAGCUACGUACUCCCCGAUUCUGCUGUUUUUCAGGUAUAAUUACGCUUUGAUCUGUUCAUAUCUGUUUGUCUCUAUUUCGACUUUGAAUGUCGCUGUGGGUUGAUUGAUGGUAAAUCGUUGAUUAGUCCUUAAUCAUGGUGAAUUUGCUUUGUACAUUUGAUUUAAAUGUUAGAAGUAAACAUAUCUAUUAUCUUUGUGUAUCUUAUUUCGCUAGAUCUAACUCUGACAUAGUAGACGACAAUCACUGUGCACAAUUUAUUAUGCAUUUUGAUUUAAUCCGAGUGAUUACUGUUGCAGCUAUUCGUAGUUCUUGUCUGAUUUUGGUAAACAAGUUUGAACAUGAAAUCAAAAUAUUUGAGCAUGUGUAAUUCUGUUUACAUUUUUUCCUUGAUUUUUUGGUUUUAAAUAUCAGAUUUUUUUAAAAAAAGUUCUAACCAAAACUGAUAAAUUGAAUAAUCAUCAAACCUGAAACUUAGAGUAAGUAGUAGUAGCCCAUUUAUUUUGUGAGGUUAAAAAUGCAAUAUACUUUAUUAUCGGCUUUCUGCUUUUAUUUCUUUCUUGUUACAAGAUUGUACUUUGAAAAAUCUAUUUACUAAUAGCAAUGUAGAAAGCAAUAAUUAAUGCUGAAAUGGGUGGAUUUAAUAAAUAUCCAGUCCUCUAAAACGGAAACAUUUGAAAUUAUAAUGAUAUAAAUCUAUAAUUGAGAUCAUUUAAAAGUAAGAUGCUGGAAUGAAAAAAUAAACAAAAGUAAAUUGCUAGUUUUUGGAUUUAGUCUUUUUUCAAACACCAAAAAUCUGUUCUACAUAUAAUAUUUGGAGCCUCUUCUGUGCAGGUGAUCAUUGGUGGUGGUGGUGGUGGUGGCUCUUUUGGUGGUGGUGCUGCAGCAGCAUCAUCAGCACCAGCUGGAGGUGCAGCAGCUGCUGAAGCACCUGCUGCUGAGGAGAAGAAGGAAGAGAAGGAGGAGAGUGAUGAUGACAUGGGUUUCUCACUCUUUGAUUAAUUCUUCUAUUUCUUUAUACAAUGUUAUGUUCAUCGUAUGUUUUCUUAUCAAGUUUUGAUAUUGUUGGUAGAUUAUUGGU
rnacentral:lncRNA from 1 species